rnacentral:lncRNA from 1 species
UUUUUUAUAUCUGGGGGUGUGGUAUUAAAUCUUUACCGCAAGGAUUCGACAAGCUCAACCAUCUUCAGAGUAUUCAAAUAACUCGAUGUUCAAAUCUAGUCUCGUUGGAAGGGUUUUUGCCCACCACCAAUUUGACUAACCUUUGGAUCUCUAACUGUAAAAAUUUGCGAGCCCUGCCGAAUUGCAUGCACAACCUCACUUCUCUUCGACAAUUGCAGGUUGAGAAUGAUUCAGGUGAUCAGAUAUCCAUUCCAGAAGAGGGUAUCUCUACCAACCUAACAUCACUUUCCAUCUCAAUGCCCAGAAAUUAUGAGUCUCGACUUGAAUGGGGAUUGCAUAGACUCACCUCUCUUAAAACACUUACCAUUACUGGUAGAGGAUGUCCGAAUAUGGUGGCGUUUCCACCAGAGCAGAUAGGAAUGAUGCUACCUUCCUCUCUCACCGAUUUGAGCAUUGUAAAUUUCGAAAAUUUGAAAUGCCUAUCCUCCAAAGGCUUUCAAAACCUCAGCUCUCUUCAUCAUUUGCGCAUCAUCUGUUUCCCUAAGCUCACAUCUCUUCCUGAAAAAGACAGGCUUCACUCGCUUUUGAUGUUAUUAAUUAUUGAUUGUCCAUUGCUAGAGGAAGAAUGCGAAAGGAACAAAGGACGAGAGUGGUCCAAGAUAGCCUACGUACCUUGUGUUGAAAGUCAUUAUCUCUGAUUCUUUGAUUGAGUUUGACACCCAAAGGAGUUGAAUUGAAAGUUGACUGUGAAAAUCACAGGUAUGAAACCAUUUGAAACGUAAGGCAAUUUAGAAGCUGCUCAUUUUUAACAACAAAAUGAAACUAAUAAUAAUAUUUCUUUUCAUUACUGAUUAUUUGCAGGCAAUUCAAAAGCUUUAGAAGGAAACUUGGUGGGAGACUGGGCUUCUCACUUUUUCAUCUAAAUGGCAGAAUCAGUGUGUAAUUAAUUGUUGGUUAGUAGACUCAUGCACAUACAACAACAGUCUACAGGACCCAACUGGUUUUUCUUCAACUUCAUCGUUGAUUUUGUUUUUUUUCGUUUUCAGACCUAUGAAAAUGCUGUAGAGGCUGAUGAAUGGAGUGGUCAGUUAAUUCUCUGCAACUCUCAUCUACAUUUUUAGGAUUUGAUAACGAUUUGAAAUUCUAAUAGAAUACUAUUGAGUUUUCUUCAUUUCUAUUAUGAUGAAUUUGGUGUAUUUUUUACGAAUUCAAAGUCUGCCAAUUCUAUUUUACUUGCCUAUACCUGGAGGACAUCCUUCACUUUAUUCUUUUAAUUUCACAUCAUUCUCAUUUGAUCUUUGUGUGACAAUUUCUCAUACUCCAAUCUAUCUUACUUUUCUUAAUUUUUUGGAGGAACUGCUUUAUAAAGAAAAGAAAAGAAAACAGAGGAAAGGAAUAUAAGAUUGGAUAUAUGUAGGUUAGAUGCUCCAUUUAAUUCGUUAACAGACUUUAAUUUUCUGCAUGUCUUAUGCUUGUGUGAAUAACAGAUUACUCAUUAUCUGGGCAGAAAAGGAAAUAGGUAUUAGAUCUCACAAGCAAACUUGGAAAAAAUUCAGUGAAUAGAUAUACCACAUCCCAUUCAAAUAGUUGAUUAAAUUUUGAAUGAUAACGAAGUGUUCAUUUAAUUGUACAGGCAGAAACCUGAACAAGAAUCUGAAUAAGGGAAGAAUGAAUUCUGGCCUUCAAAGGUAAUUUGUUGACCUAAUAAUCAAUACAAUUAAAUGGUGGCAUGCCAUUAGGCAACAAUGAGAAAAUCCUUCCUAAGUAAACCAUUUGAUGUAUAACUUUUAAAAGUUUGAGUUGGAACUCUCUCUAACCUUCAUCCUCAACUUUCAGAUAAUCUAGGUACUUAGGGAUGCGUUUGAUGUGCACUUAAAAAGUUGGAUAGGAUUGCAAAUAGAAAUCGUCGCAUACCAGUGAAAAACAAAACUUUACCUGACUUCAUAUGUACCCUUUGUAAUUUAGACACCUUGCAAUUAAAGUGAUGUCACGAGUUAGAAAAGUUACCCUGAAAAAUAGAAAUUCUAGUCAAAUUGCAUCAUCUUGACAUUAGUCAUACAAAUUCAGUGAAAGCAAUGCCCUUUGGAAUUGGUGGACUAACCAAUCUUUAAAAACUGUCUAAUUUUGUUUUGGGUGAAGGUGGUGGAUAUCAGAUAUGAGAGAUGAAGAAUUUGUGGAAUCUUAAGGGUGAGAUUUCUAUUUCAGGCUCGGAGAUUGUUGUUAAAGCUCAAGAUGCAUGGGAAGCUAAGUUGAUUGAUGCCCAGGCCUCAAUGAGUUGGAAGUGGAUUGCAACUUUUGAUAACAAUGCAAGAAAUAAAGAAGUUGAAGAAGUGGUGUUGAACUCGUUGAAUUAUGGCUGUCUUUGCUGCAUUGCUGCCACAGGGGAUUAGUUUCUACACAUUUGGAAACCAGCUUGGUUGGAGUCAGGGUCAGUUACUUUUUGCUCACCAAAUGUUUGAUUAUUUCUUUGGUCAUUUGUGCACUUGCUAGUUUGUGUUUCUUAGUUAUAUUUGGCUUUUUGAAUCUGUCACCAUGCCUUAUAAUGACAGUUUAUGCAGCAUUAGUUGAAAUAUUUUAUGUUUAGUUUAUUUUUAGAAGCAAUGUGUCAAAUAGUGUGAGCAGUUGAAGAUGCUUUUGUUCAGUGUCUUGAUUAUAUAAAUAUGUAUUCUCUUAAUGAAAAGUGAUGUAUGAAGAGCUGAAGUUCUGGUAUUUUUUGAGUUUUGUUUUCCCUCUUUGUUUUUCCGGCAAACUUUGGUCUCUUCAUGGAGAGUUUAGGAUGCAUAUCCUUAAGUUUUUUUUUAUCCAGCAGAAACCAAGGAUAACAUUUCCUUUAUCCCUGGUACAAACUCUUCAAAAUUUAUAACAGCAAAAACUAAGGUUUUUGCUUCUGCCUUCGGCUGCUUCUGCUUGGGUAGCCUUAGACAAGUAAUGUGAGCUCCCACUAAAGCCAAGAGAACUUUUUUGGUCAUCAUAAAGAGCUAAAAUAGCUCACCAUAAUAAUUAUGGGACUACCAAAUUUCCAACUUGGAUGGUAGAUUCUUCAUUACAGAAUUUAUUGUCCUUGAAUAUCAUGAAUUGUAAAAUUGCAGAUCUUACCUGCAAUUGGAAAAUUACCACUGUUGGAAUCUCUUUGCAUUGAAGGAAUGGAUGGAGGCUACCAAAGGUCUUGCUUUGGUCAUGUUCCUUGCAGAUAUACAGAUUGCCAAUGCCCAAGCAUGGUUUCUGUUUUAACGAAUAACCUGCUUCUGACUUGAAGAAGAUUGAGAAAUGAAGAUGGCAAGAAUUUACAGUGUUUGGUGGAUGAAGAAGAAGAUACUAGCACAACUUCACCUCUCUUAAGCCAGUUACGGUUGUUGGCUGUUCAGCUGACAUAUCUUUUCCAAAAGAGGAUUUCCCUACCGACCUAACAUCACUUGACAUCACAUCACCCAAUAUUUGUAGGUCACUACUUUAAUAGGGAUUGCAUAGACUCAGCUCUCUCAAAAAACUGUCCAUUAAUGGUGAAGAAUGUCCAGAUGUGGUGUUGUUUCCACAAGAGGCGAUAGGAAUGAUGCUGCCUCCCCCUCUCUGCGAUAUCAACAUAAGUGAUUUCGACAACCUGAAAUUUCUAUCCUCGGAUGGCUUUCAAAACCUCACGUCUCUUUGGUCUUUCGAGAUCACUGAUUGCUCUAAGCCCACAUCUCUUCCAGAAAAAGACAUGCUUCUCGCACUUUGCUAUUUUCAGAUUGAUGAUUGUCCUUUUCUAGAAGAAUGGUGCAAAAGGGAUAAAGGACAUACCUCAUGUUGAAAACAAUAAUGAACAAAAUUAUCCCAAAGAAGUUGAAAUCUAGAAAUUGAAAGUCAAAAGGUAUUAAACCAUUUGAAAGAUAGGCCAGAUAAUUGAAUUCUGAUUAUUUAUUCAUUUAAUUUUUGUUAGAUACAUAAGAUAAUAGUAAGUCUGAUAUGUUAUUGAUGAUAUAUAAUUAAUUUACAGCCACAUUGGAGGCUUGAAAGCUACAAAGUGCAGUUCGUAUAUAUAGCUCUAUUCAAAGAUCAGGUACAAGCUUCUCAUUUUCUUUUUCCAUUUCACUUGCACUUAAGCAUAGCAUGCUCAUCAAUCCACAACAUUUAACCAUUAAAACACUUGUGCUCCUCUAACUUCAGGUCUAAACACCUCUUGGUGUGAAUUUGUUGAUUCAUCAUUUUGGCUUACGAAACUGAUUAAAAAGUUCAAGGAUGAAAGGUGAGUUGAUUUUUUUCUACUUUUUUAUGUCAUGUACAUUGAAGAAUUGAAAAGUGAUUGUUAGAAUAUAUACGCAGUUUCAUGGACAAAAUUGUGUUUUAUUUUUUGGUAAGUUAUAUAUUCGUUCAUACAGAAGCAUAUUUGUUUUGAUUUCAGGAGAUUGCCAUUUUGUUAAAGAAAAUUUCUCUUUCUCCUUUUCCAUAUUAUCAAUUUUCUUUGUACGUGAUUACUUUAAACCACACGAAUUAUGCUUUCCUUGAGUAUGUUGGAUAGUGAACUACUUUCUGUUCUUUUAGUAUUUUAAUGUUCAUUUAUUUAGUCCUUUGCUUUCUGAGUUUGUAGAGAAUGGAGAGGAAAGGAAAAAUUACAUCCAUAAAAUUCUAAUUUUUUAUUAGAUUUUCCAUUUCAGACGAGUGUGUCCCCACCAAUUGAAUGUUACUUCGAAUCUCUGCUGCUAAAAUCUGUAUACCAUUAUUACAUUGGGGAGAGCACAUACGAAUCUGUCGUGGACAACUUCCCAUUGGUGGUGCUAACGAUGCAGCCGGCCACCUUUCAAACUUUCCUUGUCACCAAGAAGUUCCUAAAUUUGGAAUACCAGCACUGCAAGGGUUUUCAGAGCAUCUCCUUCCUCAAAGGUUUGUAUACUUAAUUGCCUUAAUCUAUAAAAAGGGAUAAAAGAUGAAGUGAUUAGAGAUAUCUCCUGUAUUAAUAAGUAAUAACAGAUUACUUAUAAGCCACAAGAGGAACAGUGAAAACUUGUUGUUUUUCAUCGAAAAAGAGCGAAAAAAGCAGAAUAUACCAUGCUUGUAAAUUCAAUCCUAGGUAUGUCAAUGGGAAAAUCCUCUCUCCUUUUUUUUCUUUGAACAAUUAAUUAAAACUUGUAUGAUCACCAAGUGUUGAUUUACUUGUACAUACAGAAGUCUGAACAUGAUUAGGAAACAGCAAGGAUGAAUUCAGCCUCCAGUUCUAAUCUAUUGGCCAUAAAAUCAAUGCAAUGCAGAGGUGAGCUUUUAUAUAUUGGACUAUAUUAAGAUUAUAUGCCUCACCAAUAGAAACAAUCCCUUCUUCUAAAUGAUAUAUGCAUGCAUAGUUCUAUUAUUGUAUUGAAUUUCCUCUAGCAGUCACAUAAUAUUGUUUCCACACCACUGGAUAUUACUUAUUAGCCACAGAAGGGAAAAACGGCAAGAAUCAGAGAAACUACCAUACUUGUAGAUAUAUGGUAUGUCAAUUGGAAAAUCCUCCUGUUCUUUUUACACUUUGAUAAUAAUUAAUUAAAGUUUUUAUGCUAACCAAGUUUUAGUCUAGUGUGUACAUGCAGAAAUCUGAGCAUCCAUAGGAAGCAACAACAAUGAAAUUUAACCUCCAGUUGUAAUCUAUUGACUGUAUAAUCAAUUCAAAGCAGAGGUGAGCAUUUUAUUAGACUACCUUAAGAUAAUAUCCCUCACCAAUGGACAGCCCUUAUGAUAAAUAACCUUUUGCAUAUCUAUUAGUUACUCAUCUUCAUUCUCAAUAGUGUGACCCUCAUUCACAAUNGGCUUACGAAACUGAUUAAAAAGUUCAAGGAUGAAAGGUGAGUUGAUUUUCCUCUGCUUUUAUAUGUCAUGUACAUUCCCAUUAAAAGAAAUGUCAUGUACAUUAAAGAAUGGAAAAGUGAUUGUUAGAGUACAUAAGCAGUUUCAUGGACAAAAUUGGGUUUUAAUUUGGUAAAUUACAUAUAUACUUGCCUUGUGAAAUUGUUAGUUGUUUAUACAGAAGCAUAUUUGUUUUGAUUUCAAGAGAUUUCCAUUUUGUUAAAGAAAAUCCAAGUCUCUCUUUCCUUUUCUAUGUUAUCAACUUUCUUUAUACCAUGCCAAUUAUGCUUCCCUUGAGUAUGUUGAACAGUGAACUAAUUUCUUUUCUUUUAGUAUUAUAAUGUUCUUGUAUUUAGUUUUUUGCUUUCUGAGUUCGUAGAGACAAUGUAGAGGAAGCAAAUAAAUUUCAUCCAUAAAAUUCUAAUGUUGUAUUGGAUUUUCCAUCUUAGAGGAGUGUGUCCCCACCAACUGAAUGUUACUUUGGAUCUCUGCUGCUAAAAUCUGUAUACCAUUAUUACAUUGGGGAGAGCACAUACGAAUCUGUCGUGGACAACUUCCCAUUGGUGGUGCUAACGAUGCAGCCGGCCACCUUUCAAACUUUCCUUGUCACCAAGAAGUUCCUAAAUUUGGAAUACCAGCACUGCAAGGGUUUUCAGAGCAUCUCCUUCCUCAAAGGUUUGUAUACUUAAUUGCCUUAAUCUAUAAAAAGGGAUAAAAGAUGAAGUGAUUAGAGAUAUCUCCUGUAUUAAUAAGUAAUAACAGAUUACUUAUAAGCCACAAGAGGAACAGUGAAAACUUGUUGUUUUUCAUCGAAAAAGAGCGAAAAAAGCAGAAUAUACCAUGCUUGUAAAUUCAAUCCUAGGUAUGUCAAUGGGAAAAUCCUCUCUCCUUUUUUUUCUUUGAACAAUUAAUUAAAACUUGUAUGAUCACCAAGUGUUGAUUUACUUGUACAUACAGAAGUCUGAACAUGAUUAGGAAACAGCAAGGAUGAAUUCAGCCUCCAGUUCUAAUCUAUUGGCCAUAAAAUCAAUGCAAUGCAGAGGUGAGCUUUUAUAUAUUGGACUAUAUUAAGAUUAUAUGCCUCACCAAUAGAAACAAUCCCUUCUUCUAAAUGAUAUAUGCAUGCAUAGUUCUAUUAUUGUAUUGAAUUUCCUCUAGCAGUCACAUAAUAUUGUUUCCACACCACUGGAUAUUACUUAUUAGCCACAGAAGGGAAAAACGGCAAGAAUCAGAGAAACUACCAUACUUGUAGAUAUAUGGUAUGUCAAUUGGAAAAUCCUCCUGUUCUUUUUACACUUUGAUAAUAAUUAAUUAAAGUUUUUAUGCUAACCAAGUUUUAGUCUAGUUGUACAUGCAGAAAUCUGAGCAUCCAUAGGAAGCAACAACAAUGAAAUUUAACCUCCAGUUGUAAUCUAUUGACUGUAUAAUCAAUUCAAAGCAGAGGUGAGAUUUUAUUAGACUACCUUAAGAUAAUAUCCCUCACCAAUGGACAGCCCUUAUGAUAAAUAACCUUUUGCAUAUCUAUUAGUUACUCAUCUUCAUUCUCAAUAGUGUGACCCUCAUUCACAAUAGGUUUAAGUAGAUGAACCCUGAUUGAAAGUACAUUGCAGUUCUCAAGUAAUGCGUAGAAUUAUUUUUUCACACCAGAACUGUUGUACAACUUGGCACACAGAGAUGCAAAGAGCUUAUGUAACAGCUUUCAUGGCUCUUUAUGCCAAGCUUUUUUUGCUUCUAAUAUUACAUAUUACCAUGCCCUGCAUGUUGCUUCUUCAGCCUUCAACACUAAUCUCUCUAUGUCAAUCCCAGUGAGUCUUCAAUCCCUCCAAAUGACCCAAAAAGUAUCACUAGAGGCAAAAAGUGUCACUAGCGGCAGCACCAAUGCUAACAUACAUCAUUGCAACAUGUCAUCACCUAAAGAGCAAUCAAUGUCAUUGACAGUCAAGAUUUUCUUUUCUAACACUAUGAAUCAGUUGGGUAAGAAUAACUUAUUAAAAAAUUUGCUCUUCAUUUAUCAUUUCUCUUUGCAAAGAAACUUCUUCAAAUUCAUCAGUAGUAUCAUCACUAAUAGAUUCACACUAAUCCCUUAACAAAUUUUCAUAGAUAGACUUUGUAAUGUGCCAUAAACUAGUUGAGCUUCAGUUUUCUUUUUCUUUUUCAUGAUUAUGCUAUAUAAAGUUUGUAUACUAUGGUAUUGGACUUCAGAAGGAUUAAUUUUCUUGCGCUUUUGAAUUGAGAUUAUGAGAUGUAUAAUAGAUUCAAGCUAAAUGUUAAUCUCUUUUUCCUACUCUUCGUCCUUUCUCUUUUAUCUUCUUCUUUGGCAAAUAAAGAGAUCCAACAAAUUUCAAUACAGGAAAUAAACUGAAUUUUUAUGGCUAUCAUCUGAUGGAUGUUAAGCCAUAAUGCAUGAGCAGGCCUUAAAUCUUCUUGUUUCGCUGAUAGCGAUCUAACUUCUCUGUCACUUGGCUGUGGCAAUGCUUAAAACUUCUGCAGAUCAAAACACCUUUUUCCUUUUAUUGGAUAUGUAUAGUGCAUGCCUUCAUUUUGUAUAAUCAGUAAUGUUCUUUGGCUUUUCAGAAGGUUCUUGUCUGUGUCAUCCCUGUGCCAAAAAGGAGCGUUACAAUGGUAGACGGGAGUUUUGAUGCAAGAUGUUCUAAAAAUGUUUUACCUCUGUUGGUGCCUCAUCCUUAGUCCCACGUAAGUCUCAUGAAUGGUUGGGAAUAGCUAAGUUAUUUUAUUGUUUUUUGACUAGAAUGUCAACAUGAUGUCAUGGUCUUACCCCUGAGGCCACAUUGUUUGACCAGGUGCCACAACCAAAGAAGCUGAAUGUCAAGUUUCCUACUAGUGUUAGUGUCAAUUUUUUAUAUUAAUAGUUAUUCUGUUUUUUCUUCUUGGUAUUUUAUGUUCCUUCAUUAAUAUUGGGAAUUUGGACCUAUGCAUUCUUUCAACCUGAUAUUUUAUUGUAAAAGAAAUGCCAUGAGCAUGGAUAACGGAUGUGGGCAUGAUAACUUGUCAAGUCACCAUACAAAAUUCAUGAAAGCAUAGUGAUUUGCGACCAGGCUGCCAUUGUUGGGAUUUUUGUUAUUGUGGAUUAUGGUGAUUAUUAAAGUCAUAACUGUGGCAAUUUUUUUCUAACAGGCUACUCGUUAUCCAUCACUUUAUGAAGCAAUCGAUGGGUUGUGCAACAGCUACUGAGCCAAGAUUAAAGCAGAAUGGAUUGUUGUGACAAAUUAUUGAUCUGGCACUACCAUGGAGUUUUCUACAGCACUAAUUCAUGGGAAAUAAAAAGCUGAUGAAGUCUUUAGGCCACUUGUACCUACUUUCACUGCAUUAUUUUUCAUAUACAUUCUUUUAGGGGAAAUGAGAAUGGGGGUGAGAGUGGGGAUGCUAAUUGGUAUAUCAAUAAAGUUUAUCACUGUUUGCUAAAGGAUACUUAUUUGUAUUCAGGUGAUGUGUCCUAACCAGGUAAUGGUUAUGCAAUCAGGGAGCUAAUCUCUACGAUCCAAACACAGAAAUUCAAUUAUAGCCAACUGGUGAGAUUUUUGCUUUGCUUUAUGAUUUUUACUUCAUCGUUUCAUAUAAUAGUUCACACAUAUCUGUCUUAUUUCUAAAGCAUAUCUCCAAUUAUAUUUACUUGCAUCUAGUUGAUGUCAGCAGAAUUUUAGAACUCAUCUGAGUUUCAAAAAUGUAUUAGUUCUAACUGUGUCUGACCAUAUACAAUAAAUAAUGAGAUAGCAUAAUGGGGAAUUCUUGGAAAAGUGAAGUAUACUUUAGAUAUACUUAUUAUUAUUGUCAUCGAAUGUCUGAAAAUAUUUGAUUUUUUUGCUUUUUGUUUAUAGCUCCUGAGAAAGGGAAAUGAGUGCCAAUAGUAAAAUCACCACAUAUUUGCAGAACCUGAGGUCUCCCAAUUGGGAAGGUGGGCAACACCUCACUUCAGUUCCCUUUCUAUAUAUAACUGUUAAUUAAAUUUUAAUUUUAAUACUUGAAAAUGCAGCAUGAUAAGAAGUUAUUGACCUUUCUUGGGAAGUAGAUUGAAAAUGUAGGGAUCAUUUGUAUGUUUUUUGCUGCUACUUUCCCUUUUUUUCUUAUGUUACUCAGGUCUCUCAUAUUUUCCUAUGUAAUGUAAUUGCAUAAGUUCAGGAAGAGUCAUGUCUAAAAUGUAACCACAAGAAUAUUUUAGUGAUGGCAGGUUCAGAUACUCAGGCAUGCCUCUUUCACCUAAGCACUGCUUGGGACCCUUGUGUCAAGAGGUUGAGGAGGAUUGCAAUUAUGUUCUAUAUUUAUGUCAAUUUUCUUGCAGUCCUGGUGCAAGUUACUUUCUCCGAUGAUGCUAUUUUGGUCUCAUCCCCUUUGCAUCAGAUUCCUGUUGCAAUGCGUUUGAGCCUUUUCUGGAUUACUCUGGUGGUUUACUUCCUAUUCUGCUGCUUCUCCAUGGCUAGUAAGAUAUGAGGCUGGCUUUAAUGAGAAACGGAGGUGGGUGGACGAGAUUAUUUUUCGUUGUAAGCUUUGUUCUCUGCAUUGGCGUAGACCUUUGGCUGAUGGCAUCUUGUUCUCGGACUAGGAUUCUGUGGCUUGCUCCCCUUCCUUCCAGUAACAUCUCCGUGGACCUGCUGGCUGCGGUUGAGUGUUAAGAGAUUCCUCUGGCUCUAUUCUAGCUUUGUUUUCUGGCCAAAUUGGUGUGCUAGACCAAUGUUGUUGAAAUAUAAUACUAUAUUUGCUUUGGAAAUUUUCUCUAGGACAUAUUGGAAAGAGAAAAAGGUGCUGGUGGUUGAAUGAGAUUCGACGGUAGUUGUGCCUUGGGUGAAAAAGUUUGAGGAUUGCCCAUGGAGUGUGUGUGUUACCUUCAAUUAGAUUGAUCCACUUAUUGCUGACAUUGGUGAAGUCUCCUUUGGUAAUAUCUGUUGGGAAGUUAACGGCCUUGCUGACUCUUUAGUGUGUAGAACUGGCAUGUUCAUGGCUUGGUGGUUCAGCAGGCUAUUAGUUUAUCUCCACCCUUUGGGCGCCAUUCUACCAGGCCUGUUAUUAGAGGUUUUAUGCUGUGUAUAUUUUUACGCUUUUGGGUGGUAGUGUAGUCACAGGGAGAUUGCUUGUUAUCUGUACAUGAACCCAAUAUAUAAGAACCAACUCAAGCCGCCACAAGAAUACUCAAGCAGUACAUCACAAGAGUCCAUAACUUUACCAGUAAGUUUUUAUAUUUUACACAUUGAUUGCAUGCUUCAUUCGUUAAGAACGAAAGAAACCAAAUGCUAACACAAGAAAGCACCUGGAGAAGCUUGUGUUUGGGAUUAGCUGAUGGAUGCAAACUAAAGUUAACAGAAAUAAUUUAGAAACUUUCUUCUUUCCCUUUGUAGAAGCAUACAUUGGGAGAUGAAAUUGAAGUUAUACAAGAAUAAAGCUAAUUAAGGGCCAAAGACAACCUUUCCACUCUGCAGCCUCCUUCCCAACCCAACAACAAAUAGCAAAACUUGCAUGAUGAACUCAUCUUACAUAAUGCCAUUUCUGUCUGCCAUAAGAUUAAGGCCUAGAAUUUUCAAUUUUUUUUUUUUUACUCAGCAAGAAUUUUCACUAUUGAAAAUUUAACGUGUGAAUAAAUUUAAAAAUAUUGGUAAAAUUAUAUUUUUUAAAUAUGAAUAAUAAUUAUGAAAAAAAAAUCUAUUAAUUAUUCACUUGACUUUACAAAAAAUAAAUACCAAUAAACUCGUUGUUCAUUACUUCUAUACCAUAUGUGAAUAGUCAUCAAAUAGUUGAAAUCAAAAUAAAGUAGCAUUAUUCUUUAAAAUUUUUCUCCAUCUCUCUCAUUUUUAUCUAUCUCUAUUUAACUUUUAUGUAUUUAUAUUAAAUUUUUUAUGUUUAUACAAAAUUGAGGUUCCAUGGUUUUUAAUAUAAAAAGUUAAAAAAAUCAUGAAAAAUUAUUUUGAAUAUAAAAAAGUAAUAGUAUUAGCUGUUAAAAAAAAGAAUAUAAUAUUAAAAUAUUAAAAAAAUAUAAUAUGAAUACCCUUUAUAAUAAUUUUAAUCAAAAUUAAAAUUUAUAUAAUUUAUUUUACCAAACAGUUUUAACUUAAUUUUAAAAUAUAUUAUUUUCAUAAAAACUUCCUAAUAACUUUUAAGUUAAAAAAAAAAAACCUAAACCAAACAUGCUCUUCGUAAGUUUCUACUUUGUUAAUGGCUCUAAUAUUUUUCCCUCUUUUUUAACUAUGUAUUUCGUAGUUUCAGGGUGGAUUUGAUGGUGUCAGGCAUCAUCUUCCUUAGGGAAGCUAGUGAACUUGCUCUAGAAGCCGGCAAAGCCAAACAUACCUUAUGGACCAAUAUGUGCGUCUUCAACUUGUCUUGGAGCACAUGGCUUACUCAAGGUAAUUUCAACGUCACUUUCUUGGAGACAUUUUAUGGAGAUUAUAUUUAUCCUAGUGACUUGGUCAAUUUAGAAACUUAUCAAACAAAUCAUGAACUUAGUACUUGAAAAGCCAUAAUCUAGUGUUGUUACAUGAAGUAGAUUCUAGAGAGGUGAUUCAAUUUCUUCCAAUAUAUUUUGCAGACGGCAAUUGCUAUUUAGAUUUAACCGAGCACUUCUGGACUUGACAAUUUUGAACUUAUCUUCAAAGAAGUGAGGAAAGGGAAUAAAGUUGGUCUGUAAUUGUGGUACUCUGUAAAAUUCUAAUUUUGUAUUGACUUUUCAUUAGCAGUCAAAUAAUAUUGUUUCCACACCCACUGAAUAUUACUCAUUAGUUACAGGAGGAAUUAUGGAAAACUAGUUGAGAUCAUAGAAGGGAAAAAGGGCAAAAAUCAGAGAAACUACCAUGCUUGUAGAUAUAUGGUAUGUCUCCCUUUUCUUUUUGCACUUUGAUAACAAUUAAUUAAAGUUUUUAUGGCAACCAAGUUUUAGUCUACUUGUGCAGGCAGAAAUCUGAGCAAGAGUAUGAAGCAGCAAGGAUGAAAUUUAGCCUGGAGUUGUAAUCUAUUGACUCUAUAACCAAUUCAAAGCAGAGGUGAGCUUUUAUUAGGCUACCUUAUGCCUCACCAAUGGAAAAUCCCUUACUGUUGUAUAAGUUGGCAUACAGAGAUGCAAAGAGCUCAUGUAACAGCUUCCUUGGCUCUUUAUGUCCUGCUUUUUCUGCUGCUAAUAUUACACAUUUACCAUACCCUGCGUUUGGGUUCNNNNNNNNNNNNNNNNNNNNNNNNNNNNNNNNNNNNNNNNNNNNNNNNNNNNNNNNNNNNNNNNNNNNNNNNNNNNNNNNNNNNNNNNNNNNNNNNNNNNNNNNNNNNNNNAAAAAAAAAAACCUAAACCAAACAUGCUCUUCGUAAGUUUCUACUUUGUUAAUGGCUCUAAUAUUUUUCCCUCUUUUUUAACUAUGUAUUUCGUAGUUUCAGGGUGGAUUUGAUGGUGUCAGGCAUCAUCUUCCUUAGGGAAGCUAGUGAACUUGCUCUAGAAGCCGGCAAAGCCAAACAUACCUUAUGGACCAAUAUGUGCGUCUUCAACUUGUCUUGGAGCACAUGGCUUACUCAAGGUAAUUUCAACGUCACUUUCUUGGAGACAUUUUAUGGAGAUUAUAUUUAUCCUAGUGACUUGGUCAAUUUAGAAACUUAUCAAACAAAUCAUGAACUUAGUACUUGAAAAGCCAUAAUCUAGUGUUGUUACAUGAAGUAGAUUCUAGAGAGGUGAUUCAAUUUCUUCCAAUAUAUUUUGCAGACGGCAAUUGCUAUUUAGAUUUAACCGAGCACUUCUGGACUUGACAAUUUUGAACUUAUCUUCAAAGAAGUGAGGAAAGGGAAUAAAGUUGGUCUGUAAUUGUGGUACUCUGUAAAAUUCUAAUUUUGUAUUGACUUUUCAUUAGCAGUCAAAUAAUAUUGUUUCCACACCCACUGAAUAUUACUCAUUAGUUACAGGAGGAAUUAUGGAAAACUAGUUGAGAUCAUAGAAGGGAAAAAGGGCAAAAAUCAGAGAAACUACCAUGCUUGUAGAUAUAUGGUAUGUCUCCCUUUUCUUUUUGCACUUUGAUAACAAUUAAUUAAAGUUUUUAUGGCAACCAAGUUUUAGUCUACUUGUGCAGGCAGAAAUCUGAGCAAGAGUAUGAAGCAGCAAGGAUGAAAUUUAGCCUGGAGUUGUAAUCUAUUGACUCUAUAACCAAUUCAAAGCAGAGGUGAGCUUUUAUUAGGCUACCUUAUGCCUCACCAAUGGAAAAUCCCUUACUGUUGUAUAAGUUGGCAUACAGAGAUGCAAAGAGCUCAUGUAACAGCUUCCUUGGCUCUUUAUGUCCUGCUUUUUCUGCUGCUAAUAUUACACAUUUACCAUACCCUGCGUUUGGGUUCAUCAGGCUUCAGCACUAAUCUGUCGAUGUCAAUCCCAGUGAAUCUUAAAUGCCUCCAAAUGAGGCAAAAAGUGUCAAUAGUGGCAGUAUCAAUGCUAGCAUAUAUAAAAAAAUAUAAAUAGGGUCACAAACUCCGACAUUUUGAACCCCUUGUUGCUCCAGUUUGUGUGAAUUGUUUGACCUAGGUGCCACAACCAAAGGAGCUGAAUAACAAGUUUCCUAGUUUUAGUGUCAAAUUUUUUAUGUUAAUAGUUACUCUGUUUUUCUUCUUGGCAUUUUAUAUUUAUUCACUACGAUUGGGAAUUUCUUAUAUGUGUUAUGUCUUUUCUUUAACAGAAACAGGGGAAACAGAAUAAAAAGGAAAGAAAGAUAAAUAAAAUUUAAAAUAAAAUGUAUUUAUUUGUUUUCAUAAACUUUUGAAAUGAUAGUGAACUAUGCGGUACUUAUAGGACUUUUCUUGCUGCCAAGCAGUGACAUACAAAAGCUAAACAUUUAAAAUGUUUCAUUUGACCUAGUAACUAAAAUAUUGCCACUACCUACAUCUUGGGAGCUUAGUGACUGUUUAGCUUGAUUUUUUUUUAACUUAUUUACUUAUUAAAAAUAGAAGUCAAUUCAAAUAGGAUUUUUGGCAAGAAAUUUUUUUAAAAAAACAAAAUUUAAAAAAAACCUUAAAGAAAAAAUUUGAAUAUGAACUUUCACUUCUCUUCUUUUCAAAAUACAUCAGCUUUUCAAAAAAUACUCAUCUCUCUCUCAAUCAAUCUCCCUCUACUCUCCCUCCUUCUACAAAUCACUUUUUUCUAACAUAAAUGACAAUCUCCCUCUCUCUCUACAAAGACUACUAGAAAAAAAAAAAAAAUCUAGCAACAGAAUAACAAAAUUUAAAGUUUUUUUGUUUUUACAAAAAUUAAAAAGGAAAAAAAAUCUAAAAUUUAAAGCUGCAUUUAGUAACUAUUUAAAGAUUUUUUUUUUUUCACAAAAAAUGAUUUUAAUAUCAAAUACAUCAUUUUCUCUUUUUUUUUUUGUUGAGGAAUUGAAGCAUCAUGGUCUGAUUAUUUGUUGGAUUAAUAAAAAUCUAAUACUAUUACUAGUACACAAGUUUGAGCAUUAUUUCGUUUUUUUAUGGAUUUUUUUAUUUUACCAUCUAAAAUCAUAUAUAAACUCAAAACAAACUUAUUCUGCUUUAAUUUUUUAAAUGUUUGAAAAUGAUAUGAAUACGCUUUAUGAUAAUUUUAAUCAAAAUUAAAAUUUAUAUUAUUUAUUUUACUAAACAUCUUACCAAACAACUUUAAUUUAAUUUUAAAAUAUAUUAUUUUUCAUAAAACCUUUGUAAUAGUUUUAGAUUAAAAAAAAGCUAAGCUAAACAGUUUCUUUGUAUGUUUUAACUUUGUUAAUGGCUCUAAUAUUUUUUCCCUUCUUUUUAACUAUGUAUUUCGUAGUUUCAGGUGGAUUUGAUGGUGUCAGGCAUCAUCUUCCUUAGGGAAGCUAGUGAAUUUGCACUAAAAGCCGGUAAACCCAAAACAUACCUCAUGGAGCAAUACGUGCAUCUUCAGCUUGUCCUGGAGCCCACGGCUUACUCAAGGUAAUGUCAACAUCACUUUCUUGGAGACAUUUUAUCUUGGUGACUUUGUAAAUUUGAAAACUUAUCAAACAAAUUAUGAACUUAGUACUUGAAAAGCCAUAAUCUAGUGUUGUUACAUGAAGCAGUUUCUAGAGAGGUGAUUCAAUUUCUUCCAAUAUAUGUUGCAUUAGGGAAUUGCUAUUUAGAUUUAACCGUGCACUUCUGGACUUGACAAUUUUGAACUUAUCUUGAGCAAAUUUAAGAUUGCUUAUCUUGAAAGAAGUGAGGAAAGGGAAUAAAGUUGGUCAGUAAUUAUGGUACUCUGUAAAAUUCUAAUUUUGUAUUGAAUUUUCACUAGCAGUCAGAUAAGAUUGUUUCCACACCCACUGAAUAUUACCCAUUAGUCACAGGAGGAAUUGUGGAAAACUAGUGGAUAUCAUAGAAGGGAAAAAGGGCAAAAAUCAGAGAAACUACCAUGCUUGUAGAUAUAUGGUAUGUCAAUUGGAAAAUCCUCCCUUUUCUUUUUGCACUUUGAUAAUAAUUAAUUAAAGUUUUUAUGGUAACCAAGUUUUAGUCUAGUUGUACAUGCAGAAAUCUGAGUCCGGUUGUAAUCUAUUGAGACCAAUUCAAAGCAGAGGUGAGCUUUUAUUAGGCUACCUUAUGCCUCACCAGUGAAAAAUCCCUUACUGUUGUACAAGUUGGCAUACAGAGAUGCAAAGAGCUCAUGUAACAGCUUCCUUGGCUCUUUAUGUCCUGCUUUUUCUGCUGCUAAUAUUACACAUUUACCAUACCCUGCAUUUUGGUUCUUCAGGCUUCAGCACUAAUCUCUCUAUGCCAAUCCCAGUGAAUCUUGAAUGCCUCCAAAUGAGGCAAAAAGUGUCAAUAGUGGCAGCAUCAUGCUAACAUAUAUCAUUGCACCAUGUCACCAGCGGAAGAUCGAUCAAUGUCAUUGAUAGUCAAGAUUUUACUUUUCUAACACUACAAAUCAGUUGAGUAAGAAACAACUGACUAGAAAAUUUGCUCCAUUUAGCAUUGCUCUCUGCAAAGAACUUGUUUGAAUUCAUCAAUAGUAUCACGACUAAUAGAUUCACACCCAUCCCCUAAUAAAUUUCGUAGAUAGACUUUGUAAUGUGUCAUAAACUAGUUGAGCUUUCAGUUUUCUUCUUUCUUUUCAUGAUUAUGCUAUAUAAAGUUUGCAUCCUAUGGUAUUGGAAAUUUGGAAGGGUUAAUUUUCUUGUGCAUUUUGAGUUGAGAUUAGAGAUAUAUAAUGGAUUCAAGCUAAAUGUUAAUCUCUUUUUCCUACUCUUCCUCCUAUCUCCAUUAUCUUCUUAUUUGGCAAAUAAAGAGAUCUAACAAAGUUCAAUACAAGAAAUAAACUGAAAAUUUUGAUGGCUAUCCUCUGAUGGAUGUUAAGCCAUAAGCUACCCCGCAUUGCAGCAUGAGCGGGCCUUAAAUCUUCUUUUCUAGCUAAUAGCAAUCUAACUUCUCUUUCACUUGACUGUGGCCAAGCUCAGAACUUCUGCAAAUGAAAACACCUUUUUCCUUUAUUAGAUAUGCUUAUAAAUGUCAACAUGAUGUCAUAGCCUUGUCCUUUAUUAGAUAUUCACUACGAUUUGGAAUUUCUUAUGUGUGUUAUGUCUUUUUUUUAACACUGCUUCCGCUUCCAAAGUGUUAAAUGGUAAGGCAAACUUCUUCAAACAGUUCGUGCAUUUAGUUUCAUAGAACUGCUUUUUUCUUUUAAUUCCUUCUGUGCUUCGAGGUUUUUUUGGCUGUUUUUGAAUGGGACUGAGCUGAUGGAGGCUUUUAUAAUAAUAAACCUAUUGAGGAGAUGAAAGAUAAUGUGACAGGGGAUUCUGUCAACAAGAAGCUUUGCAUGCUUGCCACAGUGUCAAUAUUGUUGCUGAUGCUCUUAUCUCUGAUUUCAAUGCCAUGGUUGUCAAUCUCAUUGCACCCCCUCUAGGCUGUAAGUGCCUCUCUCUGUUUGAAUGAUGCUUGUGUUUCUGAUUCCAUUUUUUUGUUGUUUGAGCUUGAGAUUUCCUUUUGCAAGACAGUUCCCAAAUUUUGUGUUUGAAUUUGGAAUUUGGACCUCUGGAUUCUUAGAAAAUAUUUUAUAAAACAGUGUCUAACCGUAUACAAUGAAUAAUGAGAUAGCUUAAUAGGGGAUUCUUAGAAAAGUAAAGUUUUAGAAAUAUUUAUUAUUAUUGUCAGAAAGGGCAGGAAAGCGGCACAGAAUCAGAGAAUAGGAAUAUUCUUAUUUCACAAAAGUAGGGAAAAGCCUUUACAAGGUUUAUAUACAAAGAUUCAGUAUAAAGCUAAAAAGGAAAAACAAGUCAUUAAAGCAUAACUAACUAAUCAGUACAUUAACUAAUUUUUGAAAUAAAACGGUGCAGCUUUGAUUUCUUCUCCUUUUAUUGAAACGUUGCCUACAGGUCUUCUCUUCUUCCUUUCUACCCCAUUUUUAUUGAAACGGUGCGUUGGGGUCUUCUCCUUGUGACUGUCUUCUUUUCAACCCGAUCACCUCUGCUCAGGUCAGUCACUUAUUCAGCUUUUCAAUUCUUCAAGUGUAAGUUCAAUAAUUAUUGCCAUCAAAUAUCUGAAAGAGAUUUGAUUUUUACUUCUUUUUUAUAGCUCCUGAGAAAGGGAAAUGAGUGCGAAAAGUAAAAUCACCUCGAGAUAUUUGCAGAACUCGAGGUCUUUCAAUUGAGAAGGUAGGCAGCACCUCACUUCAGUUCCCUUUCUAUAUGUACCUGUUAAUUAAAUUUUAAUUUUAAUUUCAAUAUAUAACAUUUCUUGGGAUGUAGAUUGAAUUCUGCUUUGGGUUUGUAGGGAUCAUUUGCGUGUUCUUUGCUGCCACUGCAACCACUGCUGCUGCUACUUUUGCUUUUUUUCAUAGGUUACUCAGGUCUCUCUUAUUUUCCUAUGUAAUGUAAAUAUACGUAAUUGAUUUCUUUACAUCACAAGUCCUAGAAGAGUCUGGUCUAAAAUGUAACCACAACACUGUUUUGAUGAUGGCUGGCAGGUUCAUUUACCCCCAGAGAUAGGGCGUGCCUCUUUCAGCUGAACACUGUUAAGGACCCUAGUGUCAAGAGAUUGAGGAGGAUGGCAAUCAUGUUCUAUAUUUAUGUCAAAUGUUCUUGCAGUUCCGGUGCAAGUUACUUCCUCCCAUGAUGCUAUUUUGGUCUCAUCCCUUUUGCAUCAAAUUCCUCUUGCAAUGCUUGUGAGACUUUUCUGGAUUGCUCUGGUGGUUUGCUGUCCAUAUAUUCUGCUGCCUCUCCAUGGCUAGUAAGAUAUGAGUCUGGCUUUAAUGAGAAAAAGUGGUGGGCUGAUGAGAUUAUUUUUCUUUGUAAGCUUUGUUCUCUGCAUUGGGUUAGAGCUUGGGCUGAUGGCAUCUUGUUUUUGGACUAAGAUUCUGUGGCUUUAAGGAGACUUGGUGAAGUCUUUGAAGCAUGUUGCCCUGUCAAAUUUAUCACCUGUUGAUUGUCAGUGGCAUCCAGAAGAAGUGAAUGGUUAUCUAUCACCUCUGCAAGCAGCUGGAUUUCCAGUUCUCUUUCUCCCAUUUGUAUUUUUUCCUUCCCCUAAAAAGUUGCCAAGAUAGGCCUUGGGUUUCUUCCUAUGUAUUUCAACUGUUUGUUCAUUCAUAGCUCCCUGUGUAUCACAACUUGUCCUGAAAAUUUUAAUUUAGUAUUUCAAUGAAUGAUGUGGCUUACUCAUAAAGUCAAAUUCAAACUUCCUUAAUAUAAAUUCGGCAUCUACCAGUCAACUAUCUUAUAACAUUCUAGUGUUUGGUCACUAUUAUAGUUCGACGAGACUAUAAAAAAAAUCUUAGUAAGUUCUUAUUACGAUUAAAUUCAAGUUUAUUGAAUGUUUCUAAUCAAAAUUUUUAUAAAUGAUUGUAAUUGAAUGUCUCAUGAAUCAAGGUAAAAUUAAUUACUAAGUAAUUUUAAUUCAAUUUUUUGAUAGUUUUAAUAGCUAAGCUAUACCUUGCACUUUUCAUUAACACUUGCCAACACAUUUAUUAUAAUUCUAUUAAUUAGGUACUUGUUUAUUGCCAAAUAUUUCUUCUAUAAGGUUUGCUUGUGCACUCCAUUGAUAUUUUUUUUUUGGAAUUUAAAAUAUAUUCUUUUACAUUGUCUAACAAUUCAACUGUCAUAUUUUUUUACAAAAAUAAACACCAAUAAAGUAGUUGUUCAUUAUUUCUAUACCAUUUGUAAUACUCGUCAAAUAGUUGAAAUCAAAUAAAGUCAUAUUAUUCUUUAAAAUUUUUCUUCAUUUGUCUCAUUUUUAUUUAUCUCCAUUUAACUUUCACAAAAUAUAAAAAAAAAUUAUUUUGAUGUAUUUAUAUUAAAUUUUUUAUUUUUUUACAUAAAUUGAGGUUUCAUGGUUUUUAAUAUACAAAAUACAAAAAGAUCAUGAAAAAUAAUUUUUGAAUAUAAAAGAAAUUAAAAUUAAUAAGGAAGUCAUUGAGCCUAAGAUACCUGUCUCAUCUAAGCAUUUCAUGCAUGAAUGCUUUUCAUUUUUUAAUGAAAAGUAGUAAUACAAUAUUUACAUUUCUCUACAACUAUUACAUAAAUAAGCCAAUAUUUUCAUUGGCAGAAAUAUUACAUUUGGAUAUUUUUCUACAUUCGAUGCAUUGGCAGUAUUUUUUUUUUAACGUUAUAAGUAAGUUUAAAGGGUUGACAUGUAUUCAUUUAGGUAUAUUUUAAAAGAAAAUAAUGAAUUGUUUAAUUCUUAAAUAAACAUAUAAAAAUUUUAAUCUCACUUGUGGAAUUAAAAGAAUUUACUAUCAAUAUACAAAAUAAUAAUCUAUUUUUUCAUAAAACUAAGCAAACUCAUCACUUUAAUUUUUUCAUUCUCUUUUUUUUUUUUGCUAUAUUUUUAUACUUGUAGGGUUACUCACAUUUUUCAAGUAAUUAAAUUUAUUUAUCAUAUGAAUAAUUUUUAAAAAAAUUUAUUAGAAAAUAAAAAUAACUAGGGUUUGGGGAAGUAAGGGGCAAACGGCACUGUUUAGGAGAGAUAACAACGUAAAAAAAUAUAAUAAGGUUUAAGUUAUCCUAUGGAUGAUACCCAGAAUGUAUCCAAAUUUGAGUUAGAUAUUAAAACUUUAUCCAAACUUGCUACAUAAUCAAAUAUAGGGUACUCAAACUUUAUGUUAUCAAGUCGGAUAUCCGUAGAUCUAUUGUAUAACAAUUUCUUUAGGAAACUAUUGAUUGCCUGUACUUAUACCAAAAGGAAUGAACAAGUUAUUUUACUAUAAAUAACAAUAGGACCACUAUAGCAAAAAAAGAGAAUUGCAAGUAAAUGAAAAAUUUUCUACACACUAACUUUAAAGUUUUUAGUUAACAAAUUAAAAAAUUGUCUUAUGAUUGAUUAGAGUAUGUUUAUUGAAAUCAAUAAAUUGUUAUAAUAAUUAAAUAAAUAUGCUAUAUAUAAAAUAAUAAUUUGGCCAAAGAAAAGAGGACAUACUAUUAAAUCAAAAUUUGAACCAACAUGAACCCACCACCACUAGCUUGUUUAGUGCCCAUUUCCUUUAUUUUCCAUGAAGAAGAAUUAAUCAGCCAAGUAACGAUAAAAAAAAGAAAGAUAUUUAAAGAAAUUUUGAUAAAACAGAAUAAAUUACAAAUAUAAUUUUGUUUUGUUGAAGUAUUUUGAAGCACAAAAUUGAGAAAGACCAAUAAUUAAAUAAGCUUUGAUUGAUUUAUUUGAUAAUAACGAAAUCUGUGAAUACCAAAAGGCUGAAAUUAAGUAAGGAAAUGCUUCAUUUUAAAGAGAGAGUAAGGAAAGAAGAAGCAAGUAAAACCAUGGAAAGAUGCAGUAAAAUUAAGAGAGCAAUGAAUGAAGGGAUUAAUGAAUACUUCGGCACGCACCUAAGGACAUGUGAAUUUGUUUAAUAAAUUUUAAAUUGUUUCCAAAGGGAGAGGAAUAGUUGUGAUCAAAGUAUUGGAACACGUGGCCGUACUGGUUCUUUAACUUGGUUUUGCCUUUAUUCAUGGCAGAAACAAACAGAAGUACUACAGUACCCUAAAUAGUCCAAUAACCAAAUUAUUACUACUCACUAGAAUUGAACCCCUACUUUGCGUUGCGGCAAAAUGAAAGAAUAUUUAUUUCGUUGGAUAGAAAACUUUUGAGUUAGAAUUGUUUGUCUUAAAUUAUGUGUUUGUAAAAAUAUCUAUACACAAAAAUUAUUGUAAAGGUAACCACAAAGUGAAUAAUUGUUACAUGGUUGUUCACAAUUUUAUGUAUUAAUUUUCAACUAACUCACAAAAAGUUAAUGCUUAUGAAAAAAAUUAAGAUAAAAUAUAAAUUGUUAUGAAUCAGAAUUAUAUUGUGUUGUUACUAUAAAAGCUAUUAAAGUAAUUUCGUAACUUAAGUAGUUUCUAUUAAAUUUAAUAGAGUAGUAGAGUAUACUGAUUUGAUCAAUAUAUUCCCAACAUUACUGUUAUAUAUUAACUUAAUUAAGAAUAAAGUAACCUAUUUUUCAUAAAAAAACCAACAAAUUCGAACAAAAUUGAAUAAAUAUCUAAAUAAGAUACAUACAAAAAAAUAAACUGAAAAAAAAUAACAAAUUUUUUGUGCUCAAAUACAAAGAUAAGAAACAAACAUAAGGAGGCAGAAAAGAAAUUAAUUAAAAAAUACCAAGCAACUCCAUAUCAGAUUCAAUUUUGUAGCUUUCAUGUGCUCUUAUGAAUAAAUUUUUUACAAACUAUUUAUAGAAAUAAUUACAUAGUUGUCAUAUUAAAGAGACUAAUAAGGAUAGCAGCACACCGAUAAAUAGUUUGUGAUUCUUUUAUGCUAGCUGCUUUGACCUGAGCAUGUGAAAGAAGAAAAAAAAUAUUAAUGGCAGAAAGAAGGAGAAACUAAAGAGAGGUUUGCACAUGAUAUUCAUUAAAUUAAGAUGUUGUAUAAAUAUUUUUUUACAAUCAAUAAUCCAUGGAUUAUAAUAUAAAACUUCAAUGAACGCAAAUAAAAGGUCAUAAAAUAACUAAAUGAUUAUGAAUGAGUAACAAAUAAGGAACCAAAACAAAUUGAAAAUUACAAUCAGAUAAGGCAAGCAAAAAUAAUAGAAAGGAAAGAAACAGAGAAAAAACAAUUGUUACAAAGACAAAAAAUCAAAACUUGAUGAUAAAUAAAAACAAUGAAAUCAGAAACAUGUGAUCAUAAAAAUAUUACCAUAGAUUGUGACAAUCCUUGUCUUCGGACGUGUAACUUGGUAGUUAAUAGAAACUUCUAAUUAAGAGGAGUGGGAUAAAGAUUAAAGAGAAAUAUUUUAAUCACCUUUACUUGGACUUCUUUUUGGGUGUUCUUACUUCGCACUAAACUAUUUCCUUUAAUGCUUCGCCAGUCUUUGCCCAUCACCAAGAAAUCAUUUGGAACAUCAAAUUAAAAAUGCUGAUAAAUGUAAAUGUCAACAAAAAAAAAUAAAAAAUGACUAAAACAAAUGUAAAUAGGUUUGUCACUUAGGCAAGCAGCAAAUAAAUAAUUUGACUGCGCAAAGAUGUAUAGAAACACAUAAGUUGAAGUUAAAAACCUUUGCCUGAAUUAAUUGUACAUCCUUCACCACAAACUCUGCAGCUUUGUUAUGAUCCUCUCUUUGAAGGACAGAAUAUACAUCGUUGACUAGAGCCUCCUCAAAGUUUAAGCCACAAAAGUUGUCAAAUCAAUAUCUCCAUAAGAAAGAUAGAUCUUCAAGGGAUUGAUCCAAAUGGAAUUACUUAUAAUAAGUAUAAAUAAAAUAAAUAAUUAACAUCUAUUUAAAUUGUUCAGUAAUUCAUAUUUAACGUUCUUACGUUCAUGAUCGCAUCAAUAAACAACCAAUGAAAAAUCAUAAGAAUUUAUUCUCAACAGAUUAAAGAUGAAAAAAAAAACAUCAAAUGGCUCAUUCAUCCACCACAACUAAGAGAUAUGGCUAUCACUAUAACACAAAAGCACAACUAUACAAAUAAAUAAUGGAAUGAAGGAAAAAUUAUUUUUUAAAAAUACCCUAUAUGAAAUGGGAGUAAUCAAAUUUCUUUUUAUAUAUUUAAUGGAGUUAAGAAACAACAAUGAAAGCCGAAAAGAAAAAAAAAGGGGACAAAACAAAACUGGGAAAAGAUAGAUAGUAGUCAAAAAUGAAAAGAAAACCCUUGAGAAGAAAAACGCAAAAUCAAAGUAGAGAAAGACACAAAACACAGAAAAUAAGAAAGCAAACUAGCCAAACUCAAAGGGAGAAAUCAGCAAAAACAGAGCAUACAAAUCAAAAAAUGAAGGACACAAACUCGAAAGAACAGAAAGUAUGGCCUUAGAGUAACCAAAAUAAAUAAAGACAAACUCCUCACCCAAAUUUGAAAAUCAAGUCAGACGUGAAACGAAAGCAUGAAAAGCAAGUUAAGCACGUCAUUCCAUUAAAAUCACACACGUGUUUUGUCUGAAAAAAUACGCAGUUCGAGACACCAAACACAUCACAACACCAACUUGGCUCCUCCAACCUUCACGUGGUAAAACUUGGGGACCUGUUGGAGCAUGAAAGCAUUUUACACAAUACCAAGGACUUGGAUGAAAAUGCGUUCAAUGGAUUGACGGGGGUAAAGAUUUUUUUUUUAAAUGUUGCUUUAAUUUAAUUAUGUGUUAAUUGACUCUUCUCUAAAUUGACUUACUCAUUAUGGAUUUAUAAAUUAAAAAUGUGAACAUUAUCUGAGUUGACACGUGGAUAAAUAAGGAAGCCCUUUUGGGGCUUCGUUUUACUUACGUUAUAGAUACUUGUGAAUGCCGUUGAUGCCUUGUCACUAUGAAGAAGGUAACACAUGUAUAGCUAGAUCUAAGAAUAGUACUAGCCUAUCUAUUCCCCGGUUGUUUAUCACGCAAAGGGCGAAGAAUCUUUCAAAGUUCGAUAAGUACUUUAUUGAAAGUACGAAUUUGCUUUUGAUGACUCCGUGCCAGCUUUUUCCUUGUCUUUUUCCCACACUGCCGCUGGCCUCCAACAAACUACUGGUCAUGGGGUCUUUAUUCCAAUGCCUUUACUCAAGUGUUAAGCUACCCCACACAAACUCUUUUAACUUUCACACAGCAAAAAACACCUCUUUUCCACAUACGUACUUCGAUCUCCAUUUUUGAUUUCUCUCUUUCUUUCCUGAGCAUAACUAUCAUGUCUUUUCUUGGGGAGGUUGCUCUCACAGCUUUCUUUGAUGGGUUGUUUGGCAAGCUAUCCUCUUCUGAUUUCCUCAACUUUGUAACUGAAAAGCAGGUCUUCCAGGAGAUCAACAAGUGGAAAAAGAUGCUGCGGGAUAUCCGUGCCGUGCUUGAUGAUGCAGAGGGGAAGCAGAUGAAGGAUCAGUAUGUGAAGAACUGGUUGGCCGAUCUUCAAGACUUGGCUUACGAUGUUGAUGACAUUUUGGACGAGUUUGCCACUGAAGCUUUGGGGCACAAGCUGACAUCCUUGGAGGAACCUCAAGGCAUAAAAAAUAAGGUACAAAAGAUCAUUCAUGCUUGUUUCUCUUCAAAAACUUUCAUGUUUAAUAAUAAGAUGAUGUCCAAGAUUAAAGAGAUCAGUGCUAGAAUGAAUGAUUUGGCCACACAAAGAACUCAAUUGGAAUUGCGAGGCAUUAAUGGGGGAGCAAGGUCCAACAGACUGAUACAAAGGCUUCAGCCUACUUCUUUGGUGGAUGAAACUCAGGUGUACGGUAGGCAAGAAGAAAAGGCAGCAUUACUUGAAUUGCUUCUGAGCAAUGGUGGUACUGACAAUGAAGCUUCUGUGAUUCCCAUCGUUGGCAUGGGAGGAAUUGGCAAGACAACUCUCGCACAACUUGUCUACAAUGAUACUAGGAUACAAAAUUCUUUCCAUGACAAGGCGUGGGUAUGCGUUUCUGAUGAUUUUGAUGCCGUUAUGAUAACGAAGACAAUUCUACAAUCAAUUGCUCCUGAUUCUUGUACCAAUAUUAAUGAUUUCAAUUUGCUUCAAGUCAAGUUGAAGGAGAAGCUGGCUGGGAAAAAGUUUUUGCUUGUCUUGGAUGAUAUCUGGAACGAGAAUUAUCUGGAGCUGACCAACCUACUCUCUCCAUUCAGAGUUGGAACCAAAAUUCUCAUUACAACACGGAGUCACAAUGUUUCUUCUAUUAUGGGCACUGUUAAAGCUUACCCGCUACAAAAGUUAUCACAGGAAAAUUGUCUAUCUGUAUUUACUCAACAUGCAUUAAGGGCAAAUGAUUUUAGUGGGCAUCCUGAAUUAAAAGAAGUUGGGGAAAUUAUAGUGAAAAAGUGUAAAGGCUUACCUUUGGCUGCUAAAGCCAUUGGUGGUUUACUACGCACUAGCCUGUACUAUGAGGCAUGGAAAGGUAUAUCAGAAAGCGAGAUAUGGGGCAUACCAGAAGAGGAAUGUGGCAUAAUUCCAGCUCUACGUUUGAGCUACCAUCAUCUUCCUUCACAUUUGAAGCGAUGCUUUGCAUAUUGCUCUAUACUCCAUAAAGAUUAUGAAUUCGGGGAGGAGGAAAUAAUCCUGUUAUGGAAAGCAGAAGGUUUUCUACAACCAGCAAGCCUUGGAACUCAACUCGAAGUUCUAGGUAGUCAAUAUUUUCGAGAUCUAGUCUCAAGGUCAUUUUUUCAAGCAUCUACUAGGAACAAAUCUCGAUUCAUAAUGCAUGAUCUUGUCAAUGAUCUAGCUCAAUCGGUUGCAGGGGAAAUAUGCUCCAAAUUGGAGGAUGAUAAACAGUUGAGAUUUUCGAAAGGUACUCGACAUUCAUCUUAUGUUCGUGGUCGUUAUGAUGGAAUGAAAAAGUUUGAAGCCUUAAAUCAAACAAAGCAUUUACGAACCUUUCUACAGUUUCCUGGAUCGUCAUGGGCACCUGAAGGUGAUUGUUAUUUAAGUAAGAAUGUCCUGGUUGAUUUACUGCCCAAACUUAGAUGCUUAAGAGUUCUUUCUUUGAAAGGGUAUCGCAUCAUUGAGUUACCAAACUUUUUUCAUAACUUAAUGCAUUUGCGCUACUUGGACUUUUCUCAUACUACAAUUAAAAGUUUGCCUGAUUCAAUACACAUCCUUUAUAAUUUAGAAACUUUACUAUUAUGUGGUUGUAGAUUGCUUGAAAAUCUACCUUCAAAUUUACAAAUUCUAGUCAACUUACGUGUUCUCGACAUCACUAAUACACCUUCAAUGAAAGGGAUGCCAUUUGGAGUUGGUAACUUAACCAAUCUUCGAAGACUAUCUGAUUUUGUUUUGGGCAAAGGUGAUGGACAUCAUAUACAAGAGAUGAAGAAUUUGUUAAAUCUGAAGGGUAAGCUUUGUAUCUCAGGGUUAGAGAACAUUGUUAAUGCUCAAGAUGCAUGGGAGGCUAAGUUAAUAUAUAAGUCAGGCCUUCGCACAUUAGAACUAAAGUGGAGUAGAGAAUUUGAUAGUAAUAGAAAUAAAGAAGUUGAAGAAGAGGUCUUGAAUUUGCUUGAACCUCAUAAAAAGCUUGAAGAGCUCUUCAUUCAGGAUUAUGGUGGUACAAAAUUUCCGAUUUGGAUGAAUUCUUCAUUACAAAAUUUGCCGUCUUUGGUUCUCAAGGGCUGUAAAAAUUGCGUAUCACUACCAUCAAUUGGAAAAUUACCAUUGUUGAAGAAUCUUUCUAUUGCUGGAAUGGAUGAGUUAAAAAAGGUUGGCAUUGAGUUCUAUGGGGAGAAUCACUCAAAUGCAUUUGCUUUGUUACAGAGUUUGAGCUUUGAGAAUAUGCCACGAUGGAAGGAAUGGGACUUAGUUGAUGAGCAAGUUGAGAAAUUCCCUAGCCUCAUCGAGCUUUCCAUCAAAAACUGCCCUCAAUUGUUGGGAAGGUUGCCUAACCAUCUUCGUUCCUUGGAGAAGCUUGAAAUUCGUGACUGUGCACAAAUGGUGGUUUCACUUUCAGACCUUCCAAAGCUGUCUCAAUUACAAAUAGAUAGGUGUGCAGAGUUGGUGCUUAAAGAUGAUGCAGACUUUUGCUCAAUAAAAAAAAUCCAUCUUUCAAACGUUGGAAAGUUUUCUACUCCAACAGAAAGGCUGGUAUCAACAUCAACAACAUUGGAGCAUUGUGAGAUUUCUGAUUGUGAGGGAUUGACAUAUUUAUCGCUAAAGAAGUUGGGACUGUUGGGAUCUGUCCGUAAAUUGGAAAUUUAUAAUUGUCCACACCUUCUGUUUUUAGAGCCAGAUGAGGUAGAGGAGGCAGAGGAGGAGCUGUUUCAAGUUGGGAAUCUUUGCAAUAUCGAAUCUUUGAUAAUAUGGCAAAUUGGUCUUAAUAUGGAAUCUUUGAGAAUAAGAAAGCAUUUUCUCCCAUUUCUUACAGAGAUGAAUAUUCAAAACUGCCCAAACAUAGUUUGUUUUGCAAAGAACAACUUUCCCCCACUUCUGAAAAAGUUAGAGAUUGUAAAUUGCGAGAAUUUGCGGUGUUUGGUGGAUGAAGGAGAAAAUAUAAGCAUCGGUAACAUAUCUUCUCUUGAGCUUUUGGAUAUUGAUGGCUGUCCAUCUCUAAUAUCAUUAUCAUUACCUGUUAGGCUUCGACAUCUUAUACUUAUGAGUUGCUCAAAGCUAGCUUCCUUAUCAGAAAGUGGCAAGUUACCCAUAGGGCUUAAACAGCUUGACCUUUCUUUCUGCCCAGAGCUCAAAUCCAUUGCAGAAGUAAUUGAUGAAAAUGCUUGUCUUGAAUCUAUUAGCUUCUUCAGUUGUGGUAUUAAAUCUUUACCGCAAGGAUUAGACAAGCUCAACCAUCUUCGGAGUAUUGAAAUAAUGAGAUGUUCAAAUCUAGUCUCGUUGGAAGGGGUUUUACCCACCACCAAUUUGACUGAGCUUUCUAUCUCCAACUGUGAAAAUUUGCCAGCCCUGCCCAAUUGCAUGCACGGCCUCACCUCUCUUCGAGAAUUACAGGUUGAGAAUGAUUCAGGUGAUCAGAUAUCCAUUCCAGAAGAGGGUAUCUCUACCAACCUAACAUCACUUUCCAUCUCAAUACCAAGAAAUUAUGAGUCUCUACUUGAAAGAGGAUUGCAUAGACUCCCCUCUCUUAAAACACUUUGUAUUUCUGGUGAAGGAUGUCCGAAUAUGGUGUUGUUUCCACCAGAGGAGAUAGGAAUGAUGCUGCCUCCCUCUCUCACCCAUUUGAGCAUUGAAAAUUUUGAAAAUUUGAAAUGCCUAUCCUCCAAAGGCUUUCAAAACCUCACCUCUUUUCAUCAUUUGUCCAUCUUCUCUUGCCCUAAGCUCACAUCUCUUCCUGAAAAAGACAUUCUUAACUCGCUUUUGCAGUUAUUCAUUUGUGCUUGUCCAUUGCUAAAGGAAGAGUGCACAAGGGACAAAGGACGAGAGUGGUCCAAAAUAGCCCACAUACCUCGUGUUCAAAUUUUUGAUUUCUUACCCUUUUUUUGACACCCAAAGGAGUUGAAUUGAAACUUGACUGUAAACUCUGAAAAAAAAAAAAAGAGUUGGCUGUGACAAUCACAGGUAUGAAACCAUUGAAACGUAUGGCAAUUUAGAAGCUUCUCAUUUUUAACUACAAAAUGAAGCUAAUUAUAAUAUUUUUUUUUCAUCAUUGAUUAUUUUCAGGCAAUUCAAAAGCUUUAGAAGGUAACAUGGUGAGAAACUGGGCUUCUCACUUUUUCAUCUAUAAUGGCAGAAUCAAUGUGUAAAGUUUAAUGGUUGGUUAGUAAACUCAUGCUCAUACAACUUCAGCAGUCUACCUGGCAUUUCAAAAGAUCAUUUCAUGGAAAGGGUGGACUCAACUCUGUUUUUCUUGGGCCUCGUAUGUUGAUUUCUUCCUUUUUCAUGCCUAUGAAAGUGCUGCAGAGGUUGAUGAAUGGAGCGGUCCGUUAAUUCUCUGCAACUUUUGGCUACAUUUUUAGUGUUUGAUAAUCAUUUGAUAUUCUAAUAAAAUACUAUUGAGUUUUCUUCAUUUCUAUUAUGAUGCAUUAGGUGCAUUUUUUACAAAUUCAAAGUCUGCCAAUUCUACUUUACUUGACUAUACCUGGAUUACAUCCUUCAUUUUAUUCUUUUAAUUUCGCAUCAUUCUUAUUUGGUCUUUGUGUGACAAUUUCUCAUACUUCAAUCUAUCUUACUUUUCUUAAUUUUUUGGAGAAACUGCUUUAUAAAGAAAAGAAAAGAAAAGAAAAGAGAGGAAAGGAAUAUAAGAUUGCAUAUAUGAAGGUUAGAUGCUCCAUUGAAUUCAUUAAGAAACUUUAAUCUUCUGUUAGAUUUCCAUUACUACUUUGGAUCUCCAAUAGACUAACAUAUUUUAGCCCUUCAUUGAUUGUACUUUUUAGUUUCAACAGUAUAUAAGAGAUGAGCAAUGUUGCUUAUUUUAUGUGCCUUGCUUGUUCUCAGGUAUUUACCGAUCUGCAAUUGCCUUAAUUCUGCAAUCCAUCUGAAAAGUACUCAAACUCACUUUUCCAACUAUCCAUUGCUAACUGUCCUCUAGUAAGUAAACAGUGCAAAAAGGGAUAAAGGAUGGAGCAGUUGAAGAUAGCUUGCAUGUCUUAUGCUUGCAUGAAUGACAGAUUACUCAUUAUCUGGGCAGAAAAGGAAAAAGGUUUUAGAUCUCAUAAGGAAACUUGGAUAAAUCAGUGAAAGAUAUAUCACAUCUCAUUCAGGUUUUAACACAAGGUAUGUAAAUAAGAAAAUUUCUUUUAUCUUUUUUUUUUAAAAGAAAUCCAAAUAAUUGAUUAAAUUUUGAAUGAUAACAAAGUGUUCAUUGAAUUGUACAUGCAGAAACCUGAACAAGAAUAUGAAGAAGGGAAGAAUGAAUUCUGGCCUCCAAAGGUAAUUUGAUGACCUAAUAAUAUAUGGUGAGAUGUCAUUAGGUAACAAUGAAACAAUCCCUCUUAAUUAAACCAUGUUAUGUAUAUGUUUGAAAAGAUGGAGGUGGAACUCUCUCUAACCGUCAUUCUCAACUUUCAGAUAAUCUAGGUACUUUGGGAUGCGUUUGGUGCAAAAGAUGAUGGACAGGAUAUGAUAAAAAUCAUUCUAUCCCUUGUUUGAUGUGCACUUCAAAAAGAAGGAUUGGAUUACAAAUAGAAAUUUUAGUACUGGUGAAGUGGUAAUCGUCGCAUGCUAGCGAAAAUCAAAACUUUACCUGACUUCAUAUGCACCCUUUGCAAUUUAGAGACCUUGCUGUUAAAGCGAUGUCACGAGUUAGAAAAGUUAACCUGAGAAAUAGAAAUUCUAGUCAAAUUGCAUCAUCUAGACAUUACAAGUCAUACAAAUUCAGCGAAAAGCAAUGACCUUUGGAACUGGUAGAGUAACAAUGGAUAUAGUCAAUCUUUCAAAUAUUUAAAAAUUUUGUACUCUAACAGAGAGGCUGUUGUCACGAUUUGGAAAAUAGGAAUAUUUGAUGGUUGAUAGUUGCAAGGAAUGGACAUGUUUAAUUGCAAAAGGAAUUGGGAUCCCUUGGGAGCCUAAUGUUUCUCCCUUGGCUGAGAGUUUUGAAUUGUUCACAAGUUGUACUUGUAUCGUUAAAGACAGAGGAAGCAGAAGAGGAGCAUUUGCAACUUGACAGGCUUUGCGAGUUUCAAUGUCUAACAAUUACGAAAUGUGAACAACUUCAAAGGCCACCAAAGGUCUUGGAUUUGGUCAUGUUCCUUGCAGAUAUACAGAUUGCCAAUGCCCAAGCAUGGUUUCUGUUUUAACUAAUAACCUGCUUCUGCCUUGAAGAAGAUUGAGAAUUGAAGAUUGCGAGAAUUAACAAUGUUUGGUGGAUGAAGAAGAAGAUGCUAGCACAACUUCACCUCUCUUAAGGCAGUGACGUUUGUUGGCUGUUCAGCUGACAUUUCCUUUCCUAUUCUACGGCGUCUCCAUGGCUAUUAAGAUAUGAGGCUGGCUUUAAUGAGAAAAGGUGGUGGCUGGAUGAGAUUAGUUUUCUUUGUAAGCUUUGUUCUCUGCAUUGGCUUAGAGCUUUGGCUGAUGUCAUCUUGUUUUCAGGCUAAGAUUCUGUGGCCUGCUUCCCUUUCUUCACCAGUAACGUCUCUAAAGGCCUGCUGGCUGCGGUUGAGUGUUAAGAGAUUCCUCUGGCUCUAUUCUAGCUUUGCUUUCUGGCCAAAUUGGUGUGUUAGACUAAUGUUGCUGAAAUAAAAUACUAUAUUUGCUUCGGAAAUAUUCUCUAAAACAUAUUGGAAAGGGAAAAAGGUGCUGGUGGUUGGAUCAGAUUCGACAGUAGCUGUGCAAUUUUUUUUUGUUUUUUUUGUUAAGCCAUCAGAAGCUUUCAUUAAAACAAUGUAAGAUUACAGAUGGUCAAAAAUCAAGACUAGCAAGUAAAAACCCCCUUACAUAAGAACAGAAAGCUCUUAGAAGCACCUAGAAAAACAUCAAAUCAUUUUGUCUUGAAGCCAAUUCAGCGAAUCAUCUCUCAUGGUAUGUGUAAUGUACCAUGGCAUUGCAGAACUUGGGACAUCUUCCACAGGAUGCUUCCACUGCUACUGAUUAACCUUCAAUGUUCAUUCCUGAUAAGCGCUGGAGAUGGUGGGUUCUAGUAGUGCUCAGCAUCGCCUUUCUCUUGCUUGGUCAAUCCAAACAGGUAAAUUCUAUUUCAAUCAUGUUAUAAUAUACGCUUUAACUUAAUCGAUAACAGAAUCAACUAUGUUAUAAAAUUUGUAGAAAUGGAUUAAUAUUGUAUUUCGACGAGAUUACGAUUUUAUCUUAAUAGGUUUUUAUUUCGAUUAAACUCCAAUUUAUUUCAAAUCAGAGUUUUUACAGAAAAUUUUAAAUGAAUGCCUCUUGAAUUAUGAUGAAACUAAUUACUAAGUGAUUGAUACGAUGAAGUAGCAAUUUCUUUUUCUUCUUUCUUUUUCAUUUUUAUUGUGUGAUUUCACGUUUUAAUAACUUGCAUUUAUUAAAGGAAUUUUUUAUUUGAAAAAAAGUUUGAGAUGUAAACCUGAUACAUUGAAUCGAGUGCUUAGAUAUUAUUAAGGGGGCAUUUCAUUGAGACCAUGUGAGCACUGCUACAUAUCUAUAGUUGUCAUCUAAUGGAUUAAAUUUGGUUCAAUUUUAUCACUUUACUUGAUAAUAGUAAGCCAAAGGAAAAAUAAGUAAAUUCAUCACUUUACUAAGUAUAAUGGAUCACAUUUAUCACUAGUUAUUGAACAGAAAUGAUUUGAUCUCCAUAUUUUUUAAUUGAUCUAAAAAAUUGUCAAUAAUUAAUGGUAAAAGGAUAUUUCAAUAAAAAAUAAAGUAAUAUUUUAAUUUUGAGUAUUUUUAAACUAAAUUUAAAAAUAUUGAUAAAAUUUUAUUUGUUUAAAUAUGAAUAGUAAUUGUGAGCAAAAAUCUAUUAAUUACUCACUGGAAUUACAAAUGUGGUAGUCUAUAGAACAUAAAUAUAAAAAUUGUAUCAUUCGCUAACAUCAUAAUGUUUUGGAUGAUGCAAAUGUUUUAAACACUUGCCAACACAUUUAUUAAGCAUUUAUACACAAUAAGCAUUAUUAACACUUGUAUAAAACCACCAAGUGUUUAACAAAGGAUUAACGUUAACAUGCAAAGCUUACACGUUUAUAAACAUCAAGAGCAGCAUAGGUUCUGGUUUACUAAACUAGUACAACAGAGCAAAAUGGAACACACGACCAAUACAUAAUUCUAAAAGCACCCCAAAAUAUAAUUCAAGCUAGUUUUUUAUCUCAACAAUAAUAUACGUAAUCUAUUCAUUAUAUCAUAAGUCCAGGAAGAGCCAUGUCUAAAAUGUAAACCACAACACUCUUUUGAUGAUGGCAGGUUCAUUUACUCACAGAGAUAGGGCGUGCCUCUUUUACCUGAACACUGUUUAGGACUCUGGUGUCAAGAAGUUGAGGAGGAUUGCAAUUAAUCAUGUUCUAUAUUUAUGUAAAUGUUCCUACAGUUCCGGUGCAAGUUACUUUCUCCCAUGAUGCUAUCUUGGUCUCAUCCACUUUGCAUCAAAUUCCUCUUGCAAUGCUUGUGAGCCUUUUCUGGAUUACUCUGGUGGUUUGCUUUCUGUAUAUUCUGCUGCCUCUCCAUGGCUAGUAAGAUAUGAGGCUGGCUUUAAUGAGAAAAGUGGUGAGUGUGUGAAGAUUAUUUUUCUUCGUAUCUCUGCAUUGGUUUAGAGCUUUGGCUGAUGGCGUCUUUGUUUUUGGGCUAGGAUUCUGUGGCUUUAAGGAGACUUGGUGAAGUCUUUGAAGCAUGUUGCCCUGUCAAAUUUAUCACCUGUUGAUUGUCAGUGGCAUCCAGAAGAAAUGAAUGGUUAUUUAUCACCUGUGCAAAACAGCUGGAUUUCCAGUUCUCUUUCUCUCAAUUGUAUUUUUCACUUCCCCUAAAAAGUUGCCCAGUACCUGCAACAACACAAGCCAGCCUUCACUUUUCUUGUCUUCGGUAGGCCUUUGGUUUCUUCUUGUAGAUACUAGAUUUUGGUUAAUACUGUUACUCUAAAGAAUUAUGUUACAACAUAAUAUUAUAUAGAGAACAACCAGAACAAGUGAAGUGUUACUUCACGCAGAAUAACUAGAACAAGUGAAGCGUUACUUCACGCAGAACAAGUGAAGCGCUACUUCACGCAGAACAAGUGAAGCGCUACUUCAAGUAUUACUUAAAGCAGAACAAUUAGAAAAAGUAAAGUAUUACUCCAUAUAGAAUAACUAAUACAAGUAGAACAACCACUUUGAAUAGAAUAACUGUUUCACUUGGAUGACAGUGAAAGUAACUCAGAAUAAGUGACAGGGUUCAUGGGUUACUUUCAUCUUGGGAUGUUUCAGAGAGUUUGGCUUGGUGGCUGAGAUAUGGAGGUAGUUAAGAGGUCUUCCUCUUAACCCUUUCCUGAAGUACAAGUGUUUCACCCUCUUAUCUUGUUCUCGUAUACUUAUUCAUGUACAGCUUAUUCUCUUGUACCUAUUCUCAUACAGCUUCUUCUCUCGUACCUAUUCUUGUACACCUCUUUUCUAUUACCUUUACUUGAGAACAAGUCUUACUACAUUCAAUUACAGUAACGGUUACUUACAUUAAUAUUCUUCAUAAUAAUGUCAUUCAUUAGGCGCAUUAAAGCCUAUUCUUAUGUAACCGUCACUUUUAACACUAUAUAUAGAGCCUCACAAUUCAUUUGAAAGGACUCUUCUUUCCCUCUCCAAGUUAACACAUUCUCAACUUGAGAGCUUCUCUCUCUAAAUUCUCUCUCUAAUUAUCUUGUACUCUCUAAGUCUCUUUAAUUCUUUUCUUAUUGUCUUCCACCUGUCACAGCACUUAGUACUUCAGGAACUGCUUCAAUCUUCCUCUCUGCCUCCUCUGGCACAUCCUUUUACUUGUUUGCAACACUUCCUCUCCCUAUCACAAGAAACCCUGAUUACACUUCUUAUUUCAACUUUUUGUUCAUUCAUAGCUUCUAUGGAAUGUACCUACAAGCUUCUUAUUACAACUUGUCCUGCAAAUUUUAAUUUAGAAUUUCAAUGAAUGAUGUCUCUUAUUCACAAAGUCAAAUUCAAACUUCUUUCCCAAAAUAAAAUAUACAUCUUUUUAAAAGUUGCAUCUGCCGAGUCAAUUAUCAUGUUAUCAUAUUGCUUUAAUAAUCACGAAGAAACCUGCAAUUGCUAAUUUGAUUUUCUGGUGCUUAUUUUGAUUUCAGCCUUUCAGGAAUUUUUUUGCAUUUUCCAUUGCCAAUUGAGUAUUCACUAGGUUUGCUUUGGUUAAGGCCAAAAGAGGUAGAGAAUUCCUGCAAUGUGCAACAAGCUGUCAGUUCUAUUACAGAAGACAAGUAUGGUUGAUUUGAUGGCAAACAUCAUUACUGGGAGAGACUCAUCAAAAAGAUAAAAUUUGGAAUUAGUUUUUUCAUGAAUAAGUUAUAAUGUUAGAGAUGCUCUCUUUUUUCUGUCUCCUUCCCUAAGACAACAAUGUCCUUCCACAAUAACUUGCUGUUCUUUUAAUUUCUUCUAAAGUAAGCACUUGGCAAAAAAUAUUACAAUUGGGUAUCUUCUACAUUCUCAUUUGUUAUUUCUUUUUUUGGAUUAUUAUUCAUGUAUUGGAUAAUAUUAUUUUUUUAAUAUUAUAAUUAAGUUUUAAUGGAUGAAAGGUAUUCAUUUAGGUAUAUUUUUUAAAAAUAAUAAAUUAUUUAAUUAUUCAAUAAACAUAUAAAAAUAGUUUAAACUCACUCAUUACGUUAAAAACUUCAUUAUCGGUAAAUAAAUAAUAAUAAUCUAUUUCUUCCUAAAACCAAACAAACUCGUUACUUUAUUUCUUUCCUUUCGUUUUAUUUUUAAUAUAGUUUUAUACUCGCAAAUUUGAACACAUUUUUUCAGGUAAUUAAAUUUAUUUAUCAUAUAAAUAAUUUGAAAACAUUUUUUGUUAGAAACUAAAUAAAAUAUUAGUUAUUUUAUUCUAGAACUUUGCAAAAGAAAGCUUUAAGAACAAUCUUUAAGAUUAGAAAACAAAAAACCAUCAUGUUAACAUAAAUAUCACUUUAAAAAGUGUGCUUAGAACAUUUAUUUAUUGCGCAUGGAAUUUGCUAUCGGUCACUCAUUGCUUUGUCCUUGUCUUUUCCCAGCAGUUGCCUCUGGCCUUCAACACCACAUACAGUCCAUCCAUGAAUCAGAAUUCCACGGCUGCAAGUCAAUACCCAACUCAAUUAUUAAGCGAUCCUCACUAACUUCUCUAACUUUCAUGCAACAAAAAUACGUCUCUUUUCCGCAUACUUCAAUCUCCAUUUUUUAUUUCUCUCUUUCUUUCUUGAGCAAAACAAUCAUGUCUGUUGUUGGGGAAGCUGCUCUCACAGCUUUCUUUGAUGGGUUGUUUGGCAAGUUAUCCUCUUCUGAUUUCCUCGACUUUGUCACUGACAAGCAGGUCUUCGAGGAGAUCAACAAGUGGGAAAAGAUGCUGCGGGAUAUCCGUGCCGUGCUUGAUGAUGCAGAGGGGAAGCAGAUGAAGGAUCAGUAUGUGAAGAACUGGUUGGCCGAUCUUCAAGACUUGGCUUACGAUGUUGAUGACAUUUUGGACGAGUUUGCCACUGAAGCUUUGGGGCGCAAGUUGACAUCCUUGGAGGAACCUCAAGGCAUCAAAAAUAAGGUACAAAAGAUCAUUCAUACUUGUUUCUCUUCAAAAACUUUCAUGUUUAAUAAGAAGAUCCUGUCCAAGAUUAAAGAGAUCAGUGCUAGAAUGAAUGAUUUGGCCACAAAAAGAACUCAAUUGGAAUUGCUAGGCAUUAAUGAGGGAGCAAGGUCCAACAGAAUGAUACAAAGGCUUCAGCCUACUUCUUUGGUGGAUGAAACUCAGGUCUACGGUAGGCAAGAAGAAAAGGCAGCAUUACUUGAAUUGCUUCUGAGCAAUGAUGGUACUGAAAAUGAAGUUUCUGUGAUUCCUAUCGUUGGCAUGGGAGGAAUUGGCAAGACAACUCUUGCACAACUUGUCUACAAUGAUACUAGUAUACAAAAUUCUUUCCAUGACAAGGCGUGGGUAUGCGUUUCUGAUGAUUUUGAUGCUGUUAUGAUAACGAAGACAAUUCUACAAUCAAUUGCUCCUGAUUCUUGUACCAAUAUUAGUGAUUUCAAUUCGCUUCAAGUCAAGUUGAAGAAGAAGCUGGCUGGGAAAAAGUUUUUGCUUGUCUUGGAUGAUAUCUGGAACGAGAAUUAUCUGGAGCUGACCAACCUACUCUCUCCAUUCGGAGUUGGAACCAAAAUUCUCAUUACAACACGGAGUCACAAUGUUUCUUCUAUUAUGGGCACUGUUAAAGCUUACCCACUACAACAGUUAUCACGGGAGGAUUGUCUAUCUGUAUUUACUCAACAUGCAUUAAGAGCAAAUGAUUUUAGUGGGCGUCCUGAAUUAAAAGAAGUUGGGGAAAUUAUAGUGAAAAAGUGCAACGGCUUACCUUUGGCAGCUAAAGCCAUCGGCGGUUUACUACGCACUAGCCUGGACUAUGAGGCAUGGAAAGGUAUAUCAGAGAGCGAGAUAUGGGGCAUACCAGAAGAGAAAUGUGGCAUAAUUCCAGCUCUACGAUUGAGCUAUCAUCAUCUUCCGUCACAUUUGAAGCGAUGCUUUGCAUAUUGCUCUAUACUCCAUAAGGAUUAUGAAUUCGGAGAGGAGGAAAUAAUCUUGUUAUGGAAAGCAGAAGGUUUUCUACAACCAGCAAGCCCUGGAACUCAACUCGAAGUUCUAGGUAGUCAAUAUUUUCGAGAUCUAGUCUCAAGGUCAUUUUUUCAAACAUCUACUAGGAACAAGUCUCGAUUUGUAAUGCAUGAUCUUGUCAAUGAUCUGGCUCAAUCGGUUGCAGGGGAAAUAUGCUUCAAAUUGGAGGAUGAUAAACAGUUGAGAUUUUCGGAAGGUACUCGACAUUCAUCUUAUGUUCUUGGUUUGUUUGAUGGAAUGAAAAAGUUUGAAGCCUUCGAUCAAACAAAGCAUUUACGAACCUUUCUACCGUUGUUUGGAUCGUCGUGGCCACCUAAAGGAUAUUAUUGUUAUCUAAGUAACAAUGUCCUCGUUGAUUUGCUGCCCAAACUUCGGUGCUUAAGAGUUCUUUCUUUGAAAGGGUAUUGCAUCAUUGAGUUACCAAACUUUUUUCAAAACUUAAUACAUUUGCGCUACUUGGAUUUUUCUAAUACUAGAAUUAAAAGUUUGCCUGAUUCAGUCUGCACCCUUUAUAAUUUAGAAACUUUACUAUUACAUGGGUGUGAAUUACUUGAAAAUCUACCCUCAAACUUACAAAUUCUAGUCAACUUGCAUGUUCUGGACAUCAGUUAUACGUAUUCAAUGAAAGGGAUGCCAUUUGGAAUUGGUAACUUAACCAAUCUUCGAAGACUAUCUGAUUUUGUUUUGGGCAGAGGUGAUGGACAUCAUAUACAAGAGAUGAAGAAUUUGUUAAAUCUGAAGGGUAAGCUUUGUAUCUCAGGGUUAGAGAACAUUGUUAAUGCUCAAGAUGCAUGGGAGGCUAAGUUAAUAUAUAAGUCAGGCCUUGGCACAUUAGAACUAAAGUGGAGUAGAGAAUUUGAUAAUAAUAGAAAUAAAGAAAUUGAAGAAGAAGUGUUGAAUUUGCUUGAACCCCACAAAAAGCUUGAAGAGCUCUUCAUUCAGGAUUAUGGUGGUACAAAAUUUCCGAUUUGGAUGAGUUCUUCAUUACAAAAUUUGUCGUCUUUGGUUCUCAAGGGCUGUAAAACUUGUGUGUCACUGCCAUCACUUGGAAAAUUACCGUUACUGAAGAAUCUUUGUAUUGUUGGAAUGGAUGAGUUAAAUAAGGUUGGCAUUGAGUUCUACGGGGAGAAUCAAUCAAAUGCAUUUGCUUCGUUACAGAGUUUGAGCUUUCGAAAUAUGCCAAGAUGGAAGGAAUGGGACUUGGUUGAUGAGCAAGUUGUGAAAUUCCCUAGCCUCGUCGAGCUUUCCAUCAGUGACUGCCCUCAAUUGUUGGGAACGUUGCCUAAUCGUCUUCAUUCCUUAAAGAAGCUCGCAAUUAGGACGUGUAGACAAUUGGUGGUUUCACUUUCAGACCUUCCAAAGCUGUCUGAAUUAGAAAUACAUGAGUGUGCAGAGUUGGUGCUUAGAGAUGAUGUAGAUUUUCCCUCAAUAAAAAAAGUCCAUCUUUCAUGUGUUGUAAAGUUUUCUACUCCAACGGAAAGGCUAAAGGAGUUGGGAGUAAUUGGACAUCUAAGGUCUGGAUCUCUCCGUGAAUUGGGAAUUUCAAAUUGUCCACAACUCGUGUUGUUAGAGGCAGAUGAGGUAGAGGAGGCAGAAGUGGAGCUGUUGAAAGUUGGGAAUCUUUGCAAUAUUGAAUCUUUGAGAAUAUGGGAAAAAGGUCUCAAUAUCGAAUCCUUGAGAAUAAGAAAACAUUUCCUCGCAUUUCUUACAGAUAUGAUAAUUGAAAACUGCCCAAACAUAGUUUGUUUUGCAAAGAACAACUUACCCCCACUUUUGAAAAAAUUAGGGAUUGUAAAUUGCAAAAAUUUGCGAUGUUUGGUGGAUGAAGGAGGAAAUAUAAGCAUCACUAACAUAUCUCCUCUUGAGGAUUUGGAUAUUAUGGACUGUCCAUCUCUAAUAUCAUUAUCGUUACCGGUUAGGCUUCGACAUCUUAUGCUUUCGAAGUGCUCAAAGCUAGCUUCCUUAUCAGAAAGCGGCAAGUUACCCAUAGGGCUUAAACAGCUCCUAAUUAUUACCUGCCCAGAGCUCGAAUCCAUAGCAGAAGCAAUUGACGAAAACGCUUGUCUUGAAUCUUUUUGUAUCUUUGAGUGUGGUAUUAAAUCUUUACCGCAAGGAUUUGACAAGCUCAACCAUCUUCGGAGUAUUGAAAUAGUUGCAUGUUCAAAUCUAGUCUCGUUGGAAGGGUUUUUGCCCACCACCAAUUUGACUAACCUUUGGAUCUCUAAGUGUGAAAAUUUGGGAGCCCUGCCCAAUUGCAUGCACAACGUCACCUCUCUUCGACAAUUGCAGGUUGAGAAUGAUUCAGUUAAUCAAGUAUCCAUUCCAGAAGAGGGUAUCUCUACCAACCUCGCAUCACUUAAAAUCUCAGUACCAAGAAAUUAUGAGUCUUUACUUAAAUGGGGACUGCAUAGACUCACCUCUCUUAAAACACUUGAUAUUUCUGGUAGAGGAUGUCCGAAUAUGGUGGCGUUUCCACCAGAGGAGAUAGGAAUGAUGCUGCCUCCCUCUCUCACCCAUUUGACCAUUCGAAAUUUCGAAAAUUUGAAAUGCCUAUCAUCCGAAGGCUUUCAAAACCUCACCACCUCUCUUCAUCAUUUGUCCAUCUCCUCUUGCCCUAAGCUCACAUCUCUUCCUGAAAAAGACAUGCUUCUCUCGCUUUUGGAGUUACGCAUUACAGAUUGUCCAUUGCUAACAGAAGAGUGCAAAAGGGACAGAGGACGAGAGUGGUCCAAGAUAGCCCACAUACCUUGCAUUAAAAUUGAUGCGUGGUGGUCAAGCGAAAGUCAAGUUUGAAAGUCACAGGUAUGAAACCAUUUGAAACGUACGACAAGUUAGAAGCUUCUUAUUUUAACAACAAAAUGAAACUAAUUAUAAUAUUUUUGUCAAUGAUUAUUUGCAGGCAAUUUAAAAGCUUUAGAAGGAAACUUGGUGGGAAACUGGGCUUCCCAUCUUUUCAUCUAAAUGGCAGAAUCAGUGUGUAAUUAAUUGUUGGUUAGUACACUCAAGCACAUACAACUUCAACAGUCUACAGGACCCAACUGGUUUUUCUUCAACUUCAUCAUUGAUUUCGGUUUUUUUUUUUUUUUUAUUCCAGACCUAUGAAAAUCCUGCAGAGGCUGAUGAAUGGAGUGGUCAGUUAAUUCUCUGCAACCUUCAUCUACAUUUUUAGGGUUUGAUAACGAUUUGAUAUUCUAAUAAAAUACUAUUGAGUUUUCUUCAUUUCUAUUAUGAUGAAUUUGGUGUAUUUUUUACAAAUUCAAAGUCUGCCAAUUCUACUUUACUUGCCUAUACCUGGAGUACAUCCUUCACUUUAUUCUUUUAAUUUCGCAUCAUUUUUAUUUGACCUUUUUUGUGACAAUUUCUCAUACUCCAAUCUAUCUUACUUUUCUUAAUUUUUUGGAGGAACUGCUUUAUAAAGAAAAGAAAAGAAAACAGAGGAAAGGAAUAUAAGAUUGGACAUAUGUAGGUUAGAUGCUCCAUUUAAUUCGUUAACAAUUUUAAUUUUCUGCAUGUCUUAUGCUUGUGUGAAUAACAGAUUACUAAUUAUCUGGGCAGAAAAGGAUAUAGGUAUUAGAUCUCACGAGGAAACUUGGAAAAAAAUUCAGUGAAUAGAUAUACCACAUCCCAUUCAAAAAGUUGAUUAAAUUUUGAAUGAUAACGAGGUGGUCAUUUAAUUGUACGGGCAGAAACCUGAACAAGAAUCUGAAUAAGGGAAGAAUGAAUUCUGGCCUUAAAAGGUAAUUUGUUGACCUGAUAAUCAAUACAAUUAAAUGGUGGCAUGCCAUUAGGCAACAAUGAGACAAUCCUUCCUAAGCAAACCAUUUUAUGUAUAACUUUUAAAAGUUUGAGUUGGAACUCUCUCUAACUUCAUUCUCAACUUUCAGAUAAUCUAGGUACUUAGGGAUGCGUUUGAUGCGCACUUAAAAAGUAGGAUAGGAUUGCAAAUAGAAAUUUAGUACUGGUGAAGUGGUCAUCGUCGCAUACCAGUGAAAAACAAAACUUUACCUGACUUUAUAUGCACCCUUUCCAAUUUAGACACCUUGCAAUUAAAGCGCUGUCAGGAGUUUGAAAAGUUAACCUGAAAAAUAGAAAUUCUAGUCAAAUUGCAUCAUCUUGACAUUAGUCAUACAUAUUUAGUGAAAGCAAUGCCCUUUGGAAUCGGUGGACUGACCAAUCUUUAAAAACUGUCUAAUUUUGUUUUGGGUGAAGGUGGUGGAUAUCAGAUAUGGGAGAUGAAGAAUUUGUGGAAUCUCAAGGGUGAGAUUUCUAUUUCAAGGUCGGAGAGCAUUGUUAAAGCUCAAGAUGCCUGGGAAGCUAAGUUGGUUGAUACCCAGGCCUCAAUGAGUUAGAAGUGGAUUCCAACUUUUGAUAACAAUGCAAGAAAUAAAGAAGUUGAAGAAGUGGUGUUGAACUCGUUGAAUUAUGGCUGUCUUUGCUGCAUUGCUGCCACAGGGGAUUAGUUUCUACACAUUUGGAAACCAGCUUGGUUGGAGUCAGGGUCAGUUACUUUUUUGCUCACCAAAUGUUUGAUUAUUUUUUGGCCAUUUGUGCACUUGUUAGUUUGUGUUUCUUAGUUAUAUUUGACUUUUUGAAUCUGUCACCAUGCCUUAUAAUGACAGUUUAUGCAGCAUUAGUUGAAAUAUUUUGUUUUUAGUUUAUUUUUACAAGCAAUGUAUCAAAUAGUGUGAGCAGUUGAAGAUGUUUUUAAUCACUGUCUUGAGUAUAUAAAUAUGUAUUCUCUUAAUGCAAAGUGAUGUAUGAAGAGUUGAAGUUCUGGUAUUUUUUGGGUUUUGUUUUCCCUCUUUGUUUUUCCAGCAAACUUUGGUCUCUUCACGGAGAGUUUAGUAUGCAUAUCCUUAAGUUUUUUUUUUUAUCCAGCAGAAACCAAGGAUAACAUUUCAUUUAUCCCUGUCUGCCCAUAAUCAAUACCAAGGAUAACACUUGUUUUUCUCUGUCUGUCUGUCUGUCCCCAAAAAACCAAGGAUAAAACCUUAUUUCCUUGGUACAAACUCUUUCAAAAUUUACAACAGCAGAAACUAAGGUUUUUGCUUCUGCCUUCAGCUGCUUCUCCUUGGGUAGCCUUAAAAAAGUAAUGUGAGCUGCCACUAAAGCCAAGAGAACUUUUUUGGUCAUCAUAAAGAGCUAAAAUAGCUCACCAUAAUAAUUACGGGACUACCAAAUUUCCAACUUGGAUAGUAGAUUCUUCAUUACAGAAUUUAUUAUCCUUGAAUCUCAUGAAUUGUAAAAUUGCAGAUCAUACCUGCAAUUGGAAAAUUACCACUGUUGGAAUCUCUUUGCAUUGAAGGAAUGGAUGGAGGCUACCAAAGGUCUUGCUUUUGGUCAUGUUCCAUGCAGAUAUACAGAUUGCCAAUGCCCAAACAUGGUUUCUCUUUUAACGAAUAACCUGCUUCUAACUUGAAGAAGAUUUAGAAAUGAAGAUGGCAAGAAUUUACAAUGUUUGGUGGAUGAAGAAGAAGAUACUAGCACAACUUCACCUCUCUUAAGCCAGUUACGUUUGUUGGCUGUUCAGCUGACAUAUCUUUUCCAAAAGUGGAUUUCCCUACCAACCUAACAUCACUUGACAUCACAUCACCCAAUAUUUGGAGGUCACUACUUCAAUAGGGUUUGCAUAGACUCAGCUCUCUUCAAAAACUAUCCAUUAAUGGUGAAGAAUGUCCAGAUGUGGUGUUGUUUCCACAAGAGGCGAUAGGAAUGAUGCUGCCUCCCCCUAUAUGCGAUAUCAACGUAAGUGAUUUCAACAACCUGAAAUUUCUAUCCUCGAAUGGCUUUCAAAACCUCACGUCUUUUUAGUCUUUGGAGAUCAGUGAUUGCUCUAAGCCCACAUCUCUUCCAGAAAAAGACAUGCUUCUCUCACUUUGCCAUUUUCAGAUUGAUAAUUGUCCUUUGCUAGAAGAACGGUGCAAAAGGGAUAAAGGACAUACCUUAUGUUGAAAUCAGUAAUGAACGAAACUAUCCCAAAGAGGUUGAAAUCUAGAAAUUGAAAGUCAAAAGGUAUUAAACCAUUUGAAAGAUAGGCCAGAUAAUUGAAUUCUGAUUAUUUAUUCAUUUAAUUUUUGUUAGAUAUAUAAGAUAAUACUAAGUCUGAUAUGUUAUUGAUGAUAUAUAAUUAAUUUACAGCCACAUUGGAGGCUUGAAAGCUACAAAGUGCAGUUCGUAUAUAUAGCUCUAUUCAAAGAUCAGGUACAAGCUUCUCAUUUUCUUUUUCCAUUUCACUUGCACUUAAACAUAGCAUACUCAUCAAUCCACAACAUUUAACCAUUAAAACAGUUAUGCUCCUCUAACGUCAAGUAUCUGUAAACAACUCUUGGUGUGAAUUUGUUGAUUCAUCAUUUCAGCUUAUGAAACUGAUUAAAAAGUUCAAGGAUGAAGGUGAGUUGAUUUUUCUCUGCUUUUUUACGUCAUGUACAUUGAAGAAUUGAAAAGUGAUUGUUAGAGUAUAUACGCAGUUUCAUGGACAAAAUUGUGUUUUAAUUUUUGGUAAGUUAUAUAUUUGUUCAUACAGAAGCAUAUUUGUUUUGAUUUCAGGAAAUUGCCAUUUUGUUAAAGAAAAUUUAAUUCUCUCUCUCCUUUUCCAUAUUAUCAAUUUUCUUUGUACUUGAUUACUUUAACCCACACCAAUUAUGCUUUCCUUGAGUUUGUUGGAUAGUGAACUACUUUCUGUUCUUUUAGUAUUUUAAUGUUCAUGUAUUUAGUCCUUUGCUUUCUGAGUUUGUAGAGAAUGGAGAGGAAAGGAAAAAUUACAUCCAUAAAAUUCUAAUAUUUUGUUGGAUUUUCCAUUACAGAGGAGUGUCUCCCCACCAAUUGAAUGUUGCUUUGAAUCUCUGCUGCUAAAAUCUGUAUACCAUUAUUACAUUGGGGAGUGCACAUAUGAAUCUGUCGUGGACAACUUCCCAUUGGUGGUGUUAAUGAUGUAGCCGGCCACCUUCCAAACUUUCCUUGUCACCAAGAAGUUCCUAAAUUUGGAAUACCAGCACUGCAAGGGCUUUCAGAACAUCUCCUUGCUCAAAGGUUUGUAUACUUUAAUUGCCUUAAUCUAUAAAAAAGGAUAAAAGAUGAAGUGAUUAGAGAUAUCUCCUGUAUUCAUAACAUAUUACUUAUAAGCUCAAGAGGAACAGUGAAAACUAGUUGUUUUUCAUAGAAAAACAGCGAGAAAAGCAUAAUAUACCAUGCUUGUAAAUUCAAUCCUAGGUAUGGCAAUGGGAAAAUCCUCUCUCCUUUUCCUCUUUGAACAAUUAAUUAAAACUUCUAUGAUCACCAAGUGUUGAUUUACUCGUACAUACAGAAGUUUGAACAUGAUUAGGAAACAACAAGGAUGAAUUCAGCUCCAGUUCUAAUCUAUUGGCCAUAAAAUCAAUGCAAUGCAGAGGUGAGCUUUUAUAUAUUGGACUAUAUUAAGAUAAUAUGCCUCACCAAUAGAAACAAUCCCUCCUUCUAAAUGAUAUAUGCAUGUAUAGUUCUAUUUUUGUAUUGAAUUUCCUUUAGCAAUCACAUAAUAUUGUUUCCACACCACUGGAUAUUACUUAUUAGCCACAGAAGGGAAAAACGGCAAGAAUCAGAGAAACUACCAUACUUGUAGAUAUAUGGUAUGUCAAUUGGAAAAUCCUCCUGUUCUUUUUACACUUUGAUAAUAAUUAAUUAAAGUUUUUAUGCUAACCAAGUUUUAGUCUAGUGUGUACAUGCAGAAAUCUGAGCAUCCAUAGGAAGCAACAACGAUGAAAUUUAACCUCCAGUUGUAAUCUAUUGACUGUAUAAUCAAUUCAAAGCAGAGGUGAGAUUUUAUUAGACUACCUUAAGAUAAUAUCCCUCACCAAUGGACAGCCCUUAUGAUAAAUAACCUUUUGCAUAUCUAUUAGUUACUCAUCUUCAUUCUCAAUAGUGUGACCCUCAUUCACAAUAGGUUUAAGUAGAUGAACCCUGAUUGAAAGUACAUUGCAGUUCUCAAGUAAUGUGUAGAAUUAUUUUUUCACACCAGAACUGUUGUACAACUUGGCACACAGAGAUGCAAAGAGCUUAUGUAACAGCUUUCAUGGCUCUUUAUGCCAAGCUUUUUUUGCUUCUAAUAUUACAUAUUACCAUGCCCUGCAUGUUGCUUCUUCAGCCUUCAACACUAAUCUCUCUAUGUCAAUCCCAGUGAGUCUUCAAUCCCUCCAAAUGACCCAAAAAGUAUCACUAGAGGCAAAAAGUGUCACUAGCGGCAGCACCAAUGCUAACAUACAUCAUUGCAACAUGUCAUCACCUAAAGAGCAAUCAAUGUCAUUGACAGUCAAGAUUUUCUUUUCUAACACUAUGAAUCAGUUGGGUAAGAAUAACUUAUUAAAAAAUUUGCUCUUCAUUUAUCAUUUCUCUUUGCAAAGAAACUUCUUCAAAUUCAUCAGUAGUAUCAUCACUAAUAGAUUCACACUAAUCCCUUAACAAAUUUUCAUAGAUAGACUUUGUAAUGUGCCAUAAACUAGUUGAGCUUUCAGUUUUCUUUUUCUUUUUCAUGAUUAUGCUAUAUAAAGUUUGUAUACUAUGGUAUUGGACUUCAGAAGGAUUAAUUUUCUUGCGCUUUUGAAUUGAGAUUAUGAGAUGUAUAAUAGAUUCAAGCUAAAUGUUAAUCUCUUUUUCCUACUCUUCGUCCUUUCUCUUUUAUCUUCUUCUUUGGCAAAUAAAGAGAUCCAACAAAUUUCAAUACAGGAAAUAAACUGAAUUUUUAUGGCUAUCAUCUGAUGGAUGUUAAGCCAUAAUGCAUGAGCAGGCCUUAAAUCUUCUUGUUUCGCUGAUAGCGAUCUAACUUCUCUGUCACUUGGCUGUGGCAAUGCUUAAAACUUCUGCAGAUCAAAACACCUUUUUCCUUUUAUUGGAUAUGUAUAGUGCAUGCCUUCAUUUUGUAUAAUCAGUAAUGUUCUUUGGCUUUUCAGAAGGUGCUUGUCUGUGUCAUCCCUGUGCCAAAAAGGAGCGUUACAAUGGUAGACGGUAGUUUUGAUGCAAGAUGUUCUAAAAAUGUUUUACCUCUGUUGGUGCCUCAUCCUUAGUCCCACGUAAGUCUCAUGAAUGAUUGGGAAUAGCUAAGUUAUUUUAUUGUUUUUUGACUAGAAUGUCAACAUGAUGUCAUGGUCUUACCCCUGAGGCCACAUUGUUUGACCAGGUGCCACAACCAAAGAAGCUGAAUGUCAAGUUUCCUACUAGUGUUAGUGUCAAUUUUUUAUAUUAAUAGUUAUUCUGUUUUUUCUUCUUGGUAUUUUAUGUUCCUUCAUUAAUAUUGGGAAUUUGGACCUAUGCAUUCUUUCAACCUGAUAUUUUAUUGUAAAAGAAAUGCCAUGAGCAUGGAUAACGGAUGUGGGCAUGAUAACUUGUCAAGUCACCAUACAAAAUUCAUGAAAGCAUAGUGAUUUGCGACCAGGCUGCCAUUGUUGGGAUUUUUGUUAUUGUGGAUUAUGGUGAUUAUUAAAGUCAUAACUGUGGCAAUAUUUUUCUAACAGGCUACUCGUUAUCCAUCACUUUAUGAAGCAAUCGAUGGGUUGUGCAACAGUUACCGAGGCAAGAUUAAAGCAGAAUGGAUUGUUGUGACAAAUUAUUGAUCUGGCACUACCAUGGAGUUUUCUACAGCACUAAUUCAUGGGAAAUAAAAAGCUGAUGAAGUCUUUAGGCCACUUGUACCUACUUUCACUGCAUUAUUUUUCAUAUACAUUCUUUUAGGGGAAAUGAGAAUGGGGGUGAGAGUGGGGAUGCUAAUUGGUAUAUCAAUGAAGUUUAUCACUGUUUGCUAAAGGAUACUUUCUUGUAUUCAGGUGAUGUGUCCCAACCAGGUAAUGGGUAUGCAAUCAGGGAGCUAGUCUCUAGGAUCCAAACACAUAAAUUCAAUUUAGCCUCCUGGUGAGAUUUUGGCUUUGCUUUAUGAUUUUUACUUCAUCGUUUCAUAUAAUAGUUCACACAUAUUUGACUUAUUUCUAAGGCAUAUCUCCAAGUAUAUUUACUUGCAUCUAGUUGAUGUCAGCAGAAUUUUAGAACUCAUCUGAGUUUCAAAAAUGUAUUAGUUCUAACUGUGUCUGACCAUAUACAAUAAAUAAUGAGAUAGCAUAGUAGGGAAUUCUUGGAAAAGUGAAGUAUACUUUAGAUAUACUUAUUAUUAUUGUCAUCAAAUGUCUGAAAAUAUUUGAUUUUUUUGCUUUUUGUUUAUAGCUCCUGAGAAAGGGAAAUGAGUGCCAAUAGUAAAAUCACCACAUAUUUGCAGAACCUGAGGUCUCUCAAUUGGGAAGGUGGGCAACACCUGACUUCAGUUCCCUUUCUAUACAUAACUGUUAAUUAAAUUUUAAUUUUAAUACUUGAAAAUGCAGCAUGAUAAGAAGUUAUUGACCUUUCUUGGGAAGUAGAUUGAAAAUGUAGGGAUCAUUUGUAUGUUUUUUGCUGCUACUUUCCCUUUUUUUCUUAGGUUACUCAGGUCUCUCAUAUUUUCCUAUGUAAUGUAAUUGCAUAAGUUCAGGAAGAGUCAUGUCUAAAAUGUAACCACAAGAAUAUUUUAGUGAUGGCAGGUUCAGAUACUCAGGCAUGCCUCUUUCACCUAAGCACUGCUUGGGACCCUUGUGUCAAGAGGUUGAGGAGGAUUGCAAUCAUGUUCUAUAUUUAUGUCAAUUUUCUUGCAGUCCUGGUGCAAGUUACUUUCUCCGAUGAUGCUAUUUUGGUCUCAUCCCCUUUGCAUCAGAUUCCUGUUGCAAUGCGUUUGAGCCUUUUCUGGAUUACUCUGGUGGUUUACUUCCUAUUCUGCUGCUUCUCCAUGGCUAGUAAGAUAUGAGGCUGGCUUUAAUGAGAAACGGAGGUGGGUGGACGAGAUUAUUUUUCGUUGUAAGCUUUGUUCUCUGCAUUGGCGUAGAGCUUUGGCUGAUGGCAUCUUGUUCUCGGACUAGGAUUCUGUGGCUUGCUCCCCUUCCUUCCAGUAACAUCUCCGUGGACCUGCUGGCUGCGGUUGAGUGUUAAGAGAUUCCUCUGGCUCUAUUCUAGCUUUGUUUUCUGGCCAAAUUGGUGUGCUAGACCAAUGUUGUUGAAAUAUAAUACUAUAUUUGCUUUGGAAAUAUUCUCUAGGACAUAUUGGAAAGAGAAAAAGGUGCUGGUGGUUGAAUCAGAUUCAACCGUAGUUGUGCCUUGGGUGAAGAAGAUUGAGGAUUGCCCUGGGAAUUUGUGUGUUACCUUCAAUUAGAUUGAUCCACUUACUGCUGACAUUGGUGAAGCCUUCUUUGGUACCAUCUGUUGGGAAGUUAAUGGCCUUGCUGACUCUAUAGUGUGUAGAACUGGCAUGUUCAUGGCUUGGUGGUUCAGCAGGCUGUUAUUUUAUCUCCACCCUUUGGGCGCCAUUCUACCAGGCCUGUUAUUAGAGGUUUUAUGGUGUGCAUAUUUUUACGCCUUUGGGUGUUAUUUUAGUCCAGGGAGAUUGCUUGUUAUCUGUUCAUCAACCCAAUAUAUAAGAACCAACUCAAGCCGCCACAAGAAUAGUCAAGCAGUACAUCACAAGAGUCCAUAACUUUACCAGUAAGUUUUUAUAUUUUACACAUUGAUUGCAUGCUUCAUUCGUUAAGAACGAAAGAAACCAAAUGCUACCACAAGAAAGCACCUGGAGAAGCUUGUGUUUGGUUUGCUUGGGAUUAGCUGAUGGAUCCGAAUUAAAGUUAACAGAAAUAAUUUAGAAACUUUCUUCUUUCCCUUUGUAGAAACAUACAUUGGGAGAUGAAAUUGAAUCUAUAUAAGAAUAAAGCUAAUUAAGAGCCUAAGACAACCUUUCCACUCUGCAUCCCUCCUUCCCAACCCAACAACAAAUAGCAAAACUUGCAUGUUGUCAGCCAUAAGAUUAAAGCCUAGAAUUUUCUUCUUUUUUUUUUUGCUAAGCAAAAAUUUUCACUAUUGAAAAUUUAAAGUGUUAAUAAAUAUUAAAAUAUUGAUAAAAUUAUAUUUGAUUAAAUAUAAAUGAUAAUUAUGAACAAAAAUCUAUUAAUUACUCACUUGACUUUACAAAAAAUAAAUACCAAUAAACUCGUUGUUCAUUACUUCUAUACCAUAUGUGAAUAGUCGUCAAAUAGUUGAAUUAAGAUAAAGUAGCAUUAUUCGUUAAAAUUUUUCUCCAUCUCUCUCAUUUUUAUCUCUCUUCAUUUAACUUUUAUGUAUUUAUAUUAAUUUUUUUUAUUUUUAUAUAAAAUCGAGGUUCCAUGGUUUUUAAAACAAAAAGUUAAAAAAAAUCAUGAAAAAUUAUUUUGAAUAUAAAAAAGCAAUAGUAUUAGCUGUUAAAAAAAAAAAGAACAUAAUAUUAAAAUAUUCACAAAAAUAUAAUCCAAUGAAAGGAGACAAAAAGAGUAUGGUAGUCAUAGAUAUCCCUUGUACUCAUCAUCAUCUACAUUAAACAAUUGUACCUUUUAGAAGAAGGUUUUGAUGGUUUAAGAAGUUGAAAAGAGGAGUGAAUAAAAUAGUAUACAAAGAAAUUAAAAAAUUGUCUUAUGUUUGAUUAGAGUCUGUUUAUUGAAAUUAAUAAAUUAUUAUAAUAAUUAAAUAAAUAUGUUAUAUAUAAAAUAAUAAUUUGCCUAAAAAAAAAAAAGAGGACCAACUACUAAAUCAAGUAACAUUUUGUUUUUGUGGUAGUAUUUUGAAGCACAAAAUUGAAGAGGACCAAUAAUUAAAUAAACUUUGAUUGAUUUAUCUGAUAAUAAUGAAAUCUGUGAAUGCAAAAGGCUGAAAUUAAGUAAGGAAAUGCUUCAUUUGAAGGAGAGAGUAAGGAACGCAAAAAGCAAGUAAAACCCAACUCAAUUAUUAAGCUACCCUCACGUACUUCUUUAAGUUUCACACAGCAAAAAUACAUCUCUUUUCCACAUACGCACUUCAAUCUCCAAUCUCCAUUUUUCAUUUCUCUCUUUCUUUCUUGAGCGAAAGGGGAGACUGCUCUCACAGCUUUCUUUGAUGGGCUGUUUGGCAAAUUAUCCUCUCCUGAUUUCCUCAACUUUGUCACCGGAAAGCAGGAGUGCUUUUUAAAUAAUAUCAUGCAUAAUUUUGUUGAUUGUAUAAUUUCAUAUCGGGUUAGAAAAUUUACAAUUUGAAUUAAAUAAGAAUUCGUAAUCGACACAUUGUGUCCAGUACUUUUAUGUGCUUGUUUAUAGAUUACAACUAGGUAGUCAAAUCAUUAAAAUUAACAUUUAUUAAAUGAAGAUAAAAAAAAUAAAUAAGGAUCAUUCAGCCUAACGGAUAUACCUGUUUCAGCUGAGCAUUUCAUGCAUGAAUACUUUUCAUUUUUUAAUGAAAGUAGUAAUACAAUAUUUACAUUGCUCUACAAUUGUUACAUAAAUAAACCAAUAUUUUCAUUGGCAGAAAUAUUACAUUUGGUUAUUUUUCUACAUUUCUAUUUCUUAAUUCUUUUCUUGGAUUAUUAUUCAUUGCAUAGGCAGUAUAUAUAUAUAUAUAUAUUUAAAAUGAAAAUAAUGAACUAUUUAAUUAUUAAAUAAAUAUGUAAAAAUUUUAAACUCACUUGUAGAAUUUAAAAAAAAUUCACUAUCACUUUACAAAAUGAUAAUCUAUUUUUUCAUAAAACCAAACAAACUCAUCACUUUAAUUUUUUCAUUCUCUUUUUUUUUUUUUGCUAUAUUGUUAUACUUGUAGGUUUACUCACAUUUUUCAAGUACUUAAAUUUAUUUAUCAUAUGAAUAAUUUUAAAACAUUUUUUAUUAGAAAAUAAAUAUAGCUAGGGUUUGGGAAAGUAAGAGGCAAGCAGCAUGGUUUAGGAAAGAUAGCAACCAAAAGAAAUAUUAUCGGGUUUAGGGUAUCCUAUGGGUGAUACUCGAAAUCUACUCAAACCCGAAUUGAGUAUUAAAAACCUUAUUCAAAGUUGCUUUAUUACCGAAUAGAGGGUAUCCAAAUCUUUUGUUAUCAAGUCAGAUACUUAUGGAUACUAUAUAAUAGUUACCUGCUACAUCCCUAAGUUAGACUUCACAGUUGCUUUAGGAAACUAUUUGUUGUAUGUGCUUGUACCAAAAGGAAUAAACAAGCUAUUUUACUAUAAAUAACAGUAGGACCACCAUAGCAAAAUAGAAAAUUAAAAAAAAGGAGAAUUGCAAGUAAAUAAAAAAAUUUCCACACACUAACUUUAAAGUUUUAAAAUUAUAUAAACAAAUUAAAAAAUUUUCUUAUGUUUGACUAGAGUAUGUUUAUUGAAAUUAAUAGAUUCUUAUAAUAAUGAAAUAAAAUAUGUGAUAUAUAAAAUGAAAAUUUGCAAAAAAAAGAGGACCUACGAUUAAAUCAAAAUUUGAACCAAAAUGAACCCACCACCACUAGCUUUGGUUAGUGCCCGGUUGACCUUUAUUUUCCGCCACAGUGUAAAUUUUUGGGAAAAAGGCUUACCUUUCGGGUUCUUUUUGGUAACAAGAAGCCUUAACUUUCUUUCCCUUUUGUCUUCUAUUAAUCUAAUUAGAAUCUUUUUUAUUGUACCAAAAAUUCUUCUUUUCACCUUUCCUUUUGCUUUCUCCAAGACCGUGUGGGUUCCAUCCACAAAGAAGAAUUAAUUAACCAAGUACAGAAAGAUAAAAAAGAAAGAAUUUAAAGAGUUAAAUUGAAGAGGACCAAUAAUUAAAUAAAGUUUGAUUGAUUUCUUUGAUAAUAAUGAAAUCUGUUAAUGCCAAAAGGUUGAAAUUAAGUAAGGAAAUGCUUCAUUUGAAGGAGAGAGUAAGGAAAGAAGAAGCAAGGAAAGCCCUGGAAAGAUGUAACAAAAUUAAGAGAGCAAUGAAUGAAGGGAUUAAUGAAUACUUAAAUACUCACCUAAUGAUUUGUGAAUUUGUCUAAUAAAUUUUUAAUUGUUUCCAAAAGGACAGGAAUAGUUGUGGUCAAAUUAUUGGAACACGUAGCCUUGCUCUUUCUUCAACUUGGUUUUGCCUUUAUUCACGGGAGAAACAAAUCCAUUUCGCCCAUGCAUGCAGAACAAGAAUAUGAUUCAAAACACUAACAUGGCUAUACUGACCCACACUACCCGAAAUGGUCCAAUUCCCCAAAAGAAGAAGAAUCUUUUAGAGUUCGAUGACUGCUUUAUUGAAAGUGGGAAUUUGCUUUCGGUGACUCACGGCCAGUUUCUUCCUUGUCUUUUUCCAUCGGUACCGCUGGCUCCAACAAACCACAUGGGGUCAUUCUUCGAAAGAGAAGUCGACGACUCCAAGUCAAUACCCACCUCAAUAAGCUGUUUGGUAAAAAGAACAAGAAUCUUGUAAAGCUCGAUUACUGCUUGAUUGAAAGUAGAAUUUGCUUUGGGUGACUCAUUGCUAGUUUUUUCCUUGUCUUUUUCCAUCACUACCAGUGGCCUCUAAGAAACUACAUGGGGUCUUUCUUCGAAUGAGAAUUCGACGACUCCAAGUCAAUACCUUACUCAAUUGUUAAGCUACCCUCACAAACUCCUUUAACUUUCACACAGCAAAAUACAUCUCUUUUCCACAUACGCACUUCAAUCUCCAUUUUUGAUUUCUCUCUUUCUUUCCUGAGCAAAACAAUCAUGUCUGUUGUUGGGGAGGCCGCUCUCACAGCUUUCUUUGAUGGGUUGUUUGGCAAGUUAUCCUCUUCUGAUUUCCUCAACUUUGUCACUGAAAAGCAGAUCCGCAAGGAGCUCAACGAGUGGGAAAAGAUGCUGCGGGAUAUCCGUGCCGUGCUUGAUGAUGCAGAGGGGAAGCAGAUGAAGGAUCAGUAUGUGAAGAACUGGUUGGCCGAUCUUCAAGACUUGGCUUACGAUGUCGAUGACAUUUUGGACGAGUUUGCCACUGAAGCUUUGAGGCGCAAGCUGACAUCCUUUGAGGAAGGCAUCAAAAAUAAGGUACAAAAGAUCAUUCCUACUCGUUUCUCUCCAAAAACUUUCAUGUUUAAUAAGAAGAUGGUGUCCAAGAUUAAAGAGAUCAGUGCUAGAAUAAAUGAUUUGGCCACAAAAAGAACUCAAUUGGAAUUGCGAGGCAUUAAUGAGGGAUCAAGGUCCGAUAGAAUGAUACAAAGGCUUCAGCCUACUUCUUUGGUGGAUGAAACUCAGGUGUACGGUAGGCAAGAAGAAAAGGCAGCAUUACUUGAAUUGCUUUUGAGCAAUGAUGGCACUGACAAUGAAGCUUCUGUGAUUCCCAUCAUUGGCAUGGGAGGAAUUGGCAAGACAACUCUUGCACAACUUCUCUACAAUGAUACUCGUAUAGAGAAUUCUUUCGAGUACAAGGCAUGGGUAUGCGUUUCUGAAGAUUUUGAUGCCGUUGGCAUAACAAAGAGAAUUCUACGGUCAAUCACUCCUGGUUGUUGUACCGAUGACAAUGAUCUCAAUUUACUUCAAGUCGAGUUGAAGAAGAUGCUGGCCGGGAAAAAGCUUUUGCUUGUCCUGGAUGACAUCUGGAACGAUAAUUAUCUGGAGCUGACCAACCUACUCUCUCCAUUUGGAGUUGGAACCAAAAUUCUCGUCACAACACGGAGUCACGAUGUUUCUUCUAUUAUGGGCACUGUUGAAGCUUACCCACUACAACAGUUAUCAGAGGAGGAUUGUCUAUCUGUAUUUUCUCAGCAUGCAUUAAGAGCAAAUGAUUUUAGUGGGCAUCCUGAAUUAAAAGAAGUUGGGGAAAUUAUAGUGAAAAAGUGCAACGGCUUACCUUUGGCAGCUAAAGCCAUCGGUGGUUUACUACGCACUAGACUGGACUAUGAGGCAUGGAAAGGUAUAUCAGAAAGCGAGAUAUGGGGCAUACCAGAAGAGAAAUGUAGCAUAAUUCCUGCUUUACGAUUGAGCUAUCAUCAUCUUCCUUCACAUUUGAAACGAUGCUUCGGAUAUUGCUCUAUACUCCAUAAGGAUUAUGAAUUCGGGGAGGAGGAGAUAAUCUUGUUAUGGAAAGCAGAAGGUUUUCUACAACCAGCAAGCCCUGGAACUCAACUCGAAGUUCUAGGUAGUCAAUAUUUUCGAGAUCUAGUAUCAAGGUCAUUUUUUCAAACAUCUACUAGGAACAAGUCUCGAUUUGUAAUGCAUGAUCUUGUCAAUGAUCUGGCUCAAGCGGUUGCAAGGGAAAUAUGCUCCAAAUUGGAGAAUGAUAAACAGUUGAGAUUUUCGGAAGGUACUCGACAUUCAUCUUAUGUUUGUGGUGAGUUUGAUGGAAUGAAAAAGUUUGAAGCCUUCAAUCGAACAAAGCAUUUACGAACCUUUCUACCGUUGUCUGGAUCGUCGUGGGCAUGCGAAGGUAAUUGUUAUCUAAGUAACAAUGUUCUCGUUGAUUUGCUGCCCAAACUUCGAUGCUUAAGAGUUCUUUCUUUGAAAGGGUAUCACAUCAUUGAGUUACCAAACUUUUUUCAAAACUUAAUACAUUUGCGCUACUUGGACUUUUCUCAUACUAGAAUUACAAGCUUGCCUGAUUCAACCUGCACCCUUUAUAAUUUAGAAACUUUACUAUUAUAUGGGUGUAGAUUGCUUCAAAAUCUACCCUCAAAUUUACAAAUUCUAGUCAAUUUGCAUGUUCUCGACAUCACUGAUACGUCUUCAAUGAAAGGGAUGCCGUUUGGAAUUGGUAACUUAACCAAUCUUCAAAGAUUAUCUGAUUUUGUUUUAGGCAAAGGUGAUGGAUAUCAUAUACAAGAGAUGAAGAAUUUGUUAAAUCUCAAAGGUAAGCUUUGUAUCUCAGGGUUAGAGAACAUUGUUAAUGCUCAAGAUGCAUGGGAGGCUAAGUUAAUAUAUAAGUCAGGCCUUGGCGCAUUAGAACUAAAGUGGAGCAGAGAAUUUGAUAAUAAUAGAAAUAAAGAAGUUGAAGAAGAGGUGUUGAAUUUGCUUGAACCUCAUAAAAAGCUUGAAGAGCUCUUCAUCCAGGAUUAUGGUGGUACAAAAUUUCCGAUUUGGAUGAAUUUUUCAUUACAAAAUUUGUCGUCUUUGGUUCUCAAGGGUUGUAAAAAUUGUGUAUCACUGCCAUCACUUGGAAAAUUACCGUUACUGAAGAAGCUUUCUAUUGUUGGAAUGGAUGAGUUAAAUAAGGUUGGCAUUGAGUUCUAUGGGGAGAAUCAAUCAAACGCAUUUGCUUCGUUACAGAGUUUGAGCUUUGAGCAUAUGCCAAGAUGGAAGGAAUGGGACUUGGUUGAUGAGCAAGGUGUGAAAUUCCCUAGCCUCGUCGAGCUUUGCAUCAGUGACUGCCCUCAAUUGUUGGGAACGUUGCCUAACCGUCUUCAUUCCUUAAAGAAGCUCGCAAUAAGGUUCUGUAGACAAUUGGUAGUUUCACUUUCAAACCUUCCAAAGCUGUCUAAAUUGCAAAUAUGUGAGUGUGCGGAGUUGGUGCUGAGAGAUGAUGCAGACUUUCUCUCAAUAAAAGAAGUCCGUCUUUCAAACAUUGGAAAGUUUUCUACUCCAACGGAAAGGCUGGUAUCAACAUCAACAACAUUGAAGCAUUGUGAUCUUCCUGAUUGUGAGGGAUUGACAUAUUUAUCGCUAAAGAUGUUGGGACUGUUGGGAUCUGUCCGUAAAUUGGAAAUUUUUGAAUGUCCACAACUUGUGUUGUUAGAGCCAGAUGAGGUAGAGGAGGCAGAAGAGGAGCUGUUUCAAGUUGGGAAUCUUUGCAAUAUUGAAUCUUUGAGAAUAUGGGAAGCUGGUGUCCAGAUGGACUCUUUGAGAAUAAGAAAGCAUUUUCUCCCAUUUCUUACAGAGAUGGAAAUUGAAGAUUGCCCAAACAUAGUUUGUUUUGCAAAGAACAACUUACCCCCGCUUUUGAAAAAGUUGGAGAUUGCAAAUUGCAAGAAUUUGCGAUGUUUGGUGGAUGAAGGAGAAAAUAUAAGCAUCACUAACAUAUCUCUUCUUGAGCAUUUGAAUAUUAUUCGCUGUCCAUCUCUAAUAUCAUUAUCAUUACCUGUUAAGCUUCGACGUCUUUAUCUUCGGGGUUGCUUAAAGCUAGCUUCCUUAUCAGAAAGUGGCAAGUUACCCAUAGGGCUUAAAGGGCUUUACCUUUCUUUCUGCCCAGAGCUCGAAUCCAUUGCAGAAGUAAUUGACGAAAAUGCUUGUCUUGAAUCUAUUAGCUUCUGCAAUUGUGGUAUUAAAUCUUUACCGCAAGGAUUAGACAAGCUCAACCAUCUUCGGAGUAUUGAAAUAAAUAGAUGUUCAAAUCUAGUCUCGUUGGAAGGGUUUUUGCCCACCACCAAUUUGACUAACCUUUGGAUCUCUGAAUGUGAAAAUUUGCGAGCCCUGCCCAAUUGCAUGCCCAACCUCACGUCUCUUCGAGAAUUGACGGUUUGGAAUAAGUCAGGUGAUCAGAUAUCCAUUCCAGAAGAGGGUAUCUCUGCCAACCUCACAUCACUUAAAAUCUCAGUACCAAGAAAUUAUGAGUCUCUAAUUAAGUGGGGAUUGCAUAGACUCACCUCUCUUAAAACACUUGAUAUUUCUGGGAGAGGAUGUCCGAAUAUGGUGGCGUUCC